CCUGAAGAGAAGAAAGUACCCGGUCCGUAGGUCGUAGGCACUGUAGAACUUCUCCUAGCCACGACACAGGUACAUGUGGCCCUCCUCGAUCACCAACUCCACGUCCCACAGCCUGCGAACCCCGCUGCCGGCCUGUCGGAGCUUCACAUUAUGUGGCGGAUCUUCACCCAGCAUGUUCAUAAAAGUGUCAGACAGCCUCUGCAAUUUGGGACAAGGAGUGAUGUAGCAAACAACAGAGUUUUCAUAAUGAGAUGGGUGAAGGGGAGAUCUCUCGUUUUAUAUACCUGCCUCGUGGCUGAUACUGAAGAACUCAAAAGCAUCCAACUCUUACUCCGGUGAGGCAGAGCGGCGGUGGCUGCUUCCCCCCAUCUCUGGUAAGCAGCAGAAGAGACCAAUUAGUACCAGGAUUAUACAUCGACUAAUUAUACAUCUGACCCCAUUUAUAAAACAUGUGAUGUAUUCCACAAUACAAAGAACAACUACCAUUAAUAGGUUGUUGUUUAGAAGGUUUCCCACAUGUGUAUCAGAGAACAAACAUAUGAUCUAAGGUGAAACAUUAGUGCCAUGGUUAGUGGUAAUUGGUAAAUGCUAUUUCUUUCUUUAGUCGAUUUCAUUUGCCUUGGUCUGAGAAAAAAUGCUACAGUUAAGAAAUGCAAACAUCAGAUUAGAAAUUAUGUAGAAUAGAUAAUCAACUUUGCUGAUUCCUAAUAAUAGACUUAUUGAUUGACAUUUAGGAUCAAAAUGCAACCAAUGAAAAAAGAAAACAGAGGAUCAGAGACAAGCCAUGUCUUGCAUUGUUUCUAUUUUUGUGUUUACGGAAGUACCUAAUGGUAUUUUUAUGAUGUUUUGCAGCUGGUGAAAACGUAUGAAAUUGCAUUGUUUUGCAGCUGGUGAAAGAAGCACCUAAUUGCAUUAACACAUGUCCAGUUCCAAUAGAAAUCUUGGGGUACAUUCAUGCUUGAGACCCAUAACAGGAGCUUACUAGCAUUAUGCAUGCAUUAACACAUGCAUCAAGCACCAGCUGCAUUGUUUUGCAGCUGGUGAAAGAAGCACCUAAACUACAAUACCUUACAUGUAAGCAGUGCAAAAGGAGAUGAAGAAGAUAUCAGUUGCUAAACCCGACAGCAAUUGUUACACCGCUUUAAUAUCUCUCAACACUUUCUAGUAGCAACUAACAACCUGUAUCAUCACAUAAGGUUUGCCCUAUUGAAGUUUUGCACGAUUUGGAAUAUAUAACAGUUAAUGAUGUAAUAUGGCAAUGAAGCAAUUGCAUUUAAAAAACUAAGACAUGUGGAAGAGUGGACAUUGUACCUGUCAAGGGAGAGGAUUGCUCUGCGACACCACAACUUCUCAAACUUGGCCUUCACAACACACUACAUAGACAGAUGUAAACUAAAAUAUGAAUUCCUUUGCACUGGGAUCAUAAAGCAAAAUAUUUAGAACUGAAUCAUAUAGUAAUUAAUCACAAUCUACAGGGCUGCUGCACUCUAAUCUUUGCAAAAGAACAAAAAAAUAACAUUGUUUUAACCUAAACAGAAGUGCCAAAUACUAAACAAUGACCAUUGUUGUUAUACUAGUGAACUAUCUGCUAGAGAUUCUACACCCAUACUGAAAGCAAUGUACGAGGCUACGAGCCUGGCUCAAGAAGGAAUACUCCAACAGGCUAUGCAUUCCCAAUGUUUGGUGUGUGACUGACUUUUGUGUACACUAGGCCAUCACUGAAUACACGAGUAUGAUAUCCAUAUCAGAGGUUGAUGAAUACAGAUGUUGUUAUGUUGAUUACAUCUGCGUGUGUGCAAAGUGGUCAUAGUGAAUUAGAAAAUAACAGAAAAAGAGGACCCUCUUUUAAAGUGCUCGCAAUUGUUUUUUAGUUUGAUAUGUCUUCACAAUAUGGGUGUGUGCAUUUCUCAAAUACAGAGGCCCUAUGAUCUUCUUAACUUAUCUGAAAAAUAUUAUUCGACAUUUCAGGCCUUGGAUUACUGUCAGCUACGAGAUGAAGUUCGGAGAAAGGAGCUAAAACUUGACUCACCAAGUCUGCUCUAUAUUGUAUCAUACAGUUCAUAUUUUGUUUCUUCGGAAAUUUCUGAAAUUCAAAGUUACCCUCGAAGUGGUAGAGAAUGGACAGAACUAGAGCAUGGGCCAUUGUCAGCUUCUGUGUUAGUACCUUGAGCCCUGGUCACCUUGAGCUUCUGUGUUAUUGCCUACGAGGUGCCACCUUUUUGGCGCACCAAGGAGCUGGAGUGGCUGGAGGUCGAGCUGGGCUGCUAGACGUCGACGGGGCGGAUCUCGACUGCGAGGGAGUCAGUCCAUGGUGAUGGAGUCGGCGCUGGACAGGUGGGAGGGAAUGGGGAAUGGUGGAGAGAGGGAGGAAGGAGGAAGGAGGAGAGGUACCUGGUCGCCGAAGGGGUCGGGGUCGGGGUCGGCGAAGGGGUUGCGGUCGGGAUCCGAGCUCUUCCGGUUCCUCGCUCGCCGCGGUCGAAGGAGAGCAGGGGCCGGUGGCGGAGCACGGCAGGGGCAGGCGGGAUGGGCGCGUCAGGGCCGCGCUCGCCGGCGUGCAGGCGCGGCGGACGGAGGGGGCGGAGCAAGGGGGCGGCGGCGUACGGUUGGGGUCGAGGAGUGGGGGAUCUGGCGAGCGAGAGGGAGGGAGGGAGGCGACAGUGCGAGGGGAACAAGUAUAAAAAUUCUAAUGGCGCACCUCCCCCUGGUGCGCCAUAAGUACGUCGAUUCUAAUGGCGCACCUCCCCCUGGUGCGCCAUUAGAAUUUUGUUUUACUUACUAGCCCGACUGGUCAGGUUAUAUCCCACCUAACCCUAUCUCCAUCAGAACACGCCCACUAGCCCGACUGGUCAGCACGCAGCACACACACUAGGAGGUCCUGGGUUCGAUUCCCAGGCUCCCCAAUUUUUUUUAUGCAUUUAAAAUGCUGUUUGAUAUUUAUUUGUGUUUAAAUAUGUUCAAACUUGUUUAAAUCAUAACAGUAAUAUUUUUUUUAUAAAAACAGUAAUAAUUUUUAUAAAAAAUGCAUUUAAAAUGCUGUUUGAUAUUUAUUUGUGUUUAAAUAUGUUGAAACUUGUUUAAAUCAUAACAGUAAUAAUUUUUUAUAAAAAUAGUAAUAAUUUUUAUAAAAACAGGGUGCGGGGGGUGCUCGACGGCGGUGGAGCGGGGGAGGGUGCGGUGGGUCGUCGGGAGUUGCGGGGGGUGCUCUGUCCUUGUCGUUACCGGUGUAGGAUUCCAUCGUUACCCCGGAGUUCUGAUAACCAUCGCUCUUCAUGUCCUUGUCCUCGGUGUAGNNNNNNNNNNNNNNNNNNNNNNNNNNNNNNNNNNNNNNNNNNNNNNNNNNNNNNNNNNNNNNNNNNNNNNNNNNNNNNNNNNNNNNNNNNNNNNNNNNNNNNNNNNNNNNNNNNNNNNNNNNNNNNNNNNNNNNNNNNNNNNNNNNNNNNNNNNNNNNNNNNNNNNNNNNNNNNNNNNNNNNNNNNNNNNNNNNNNNNNNNNNNNNNNNNNNNNNNNNNNNNNNNNNNNNNNNNNNNNNNNNNNNNNNNNNNNNNNNNNNNNNNNNNNNNNNNNNNNNNNNNNNNNNNNNNNNNNNNNNNNNNNNNNNNNNNNNNNNNNNNNNNNNNNNNNNNNNNNNNNNNNNNNNNNNNNNNNNNNNNNNNNNNNNNNNNNNNNNNNNNNNNNNNNNNNNNNNNNNNNNNNNNNNNNNNNNNNNNNNNNNNNNNNNNNNNNNNNNNNNNNNNNNNNNNNNNNNNNNNNNNNNNNNNNNNNNNNNNNNNNNNNNNNNNNNNNNNNNNNNNNNNNNNNNNNNNNNNNNNNNNNNNNNNNNNNNNNNNNNNNNNNNNNNNNNNNNNNNNNNNNNNNNNNNNNNNNNNNNNNNNNNNNNNNNNNNNNNNNNNNNNNNNNNNNNNNNNNNNNNNNNNNNNNNNNNNNNNNNNNNNNNNNNNNNNNNNNNNNNNNNNNNNNNNNNNNNNNNNNNNNNNNNNNNNNNNNNNNNNNNNNNNNNNNNNNNNNNNNNNNNNNNNNNNNNNNNNNNNNNNNNNNNNNNNNNGGGUGCUCGGCGGCGAGGGGGACCGGAUCUGGCGAGGUGGGAUAGCGAUCGCGAGAUGGAGGGGAUCGAGAUCAAGUGUCCAUGAAAUAUACACUAAUGGCGCACGGGGAGCAGUGCGCCAUUACUAGCUUAAACUAGUAAUGGCGCACUGCACAAGGUGCGCCAUUAGUAGUUUUGCAAAAAAGUAAAAAAAUAAAAAAAAUAUUUUAGUGGCGCACUAUGUUGCUGGUGCGCCAUUACUAGUUACAACUAGUAAUGGCGCACUAUGUCCUGGUGCGCCAUUAGUAUGUCUGGCAAAAUAAAAAAAAUUGUUACUAAUGGCGCACCGUUUGUCUGGUGCGCCAUUAGUGUCUUUCACACUAAUGGCGCACCAGCACAUGGUGCGCCAUUGCUCUAUAGCAAUGGCACACCACAUGUCUGGUGCGCCAUUAGUGGCCAUUCCAUCUAUAGCCCUUUUCCUAGUAGUGCUGGGACGGCAUCUUCGGUCUCCAGGCGGACUGCGUCGGGCCUGGUGACUCGUAUUACCUGAUUAGGGCCUUCCCACUUUGGCGUCAACUUGUUGGUAUUCUUGGCCAACUGAACGCGCCGAAGAACAAGGUCGCCUUCCUAAAAGCUUCGGGCAUGAACCUUGCGGCUAUGCUAGCGGCGCAAGGCUUGCUAGUAGCGUGCUGCUCUCACAGCCGCCCAAAGACGAUCUUCCUCAAGGAGCGUUGCGUCAUCUUGCCGCAAAUGCUCUCGCUCAAGCUCAUCAUAAGCGAGCACUCGAGGUGACCCGUAUAUGAGUUCCGUGGGGAGAACUGCCUCUGCCCCUUAUACUAGGGCAAAGGGUGUCUGGCCGGUGGCUCGAUUUGGCGUCGUCCUGAUGGACCAAAUAACCGCCGGCAACUCAUCAAUCCAGCGCCUUCCGCUCUUGUGCAGCCUGUCAAAGGUCUUCGUUCUCAGGCCUCGCAACACUUCAGCAUUCGCCCUCUCCGCUUGGCCGUUGCUCCGAGGGUGUGCCACGGAAGCAAAACAGACCUUGCUACCGAGGUCUUGAAUGUACUGCCUGAAGGUGUGGCUUUUGAACUCGUGCCGUUGUCGGUGAUAAUUCUGCUUGGCACACCACAGCGGCAGACCAGUCCCUUGAAGAACUUGACGGCUGACUGUGCUGUCACCUUUCUCACCGCUUCCACUUCCAGCCAAUUUGUGAACUUGUCGAUUGCAAUGUACAAGUACUCAAAGCCCCCUAAUGCACGGGGGAAGGGGCCCAGUAUAUCGAGCCCCCAGACCAAGAAUGGCCAAGAGAGAGGGAUUGGUUGAAGGGCUUGAGCUGGUUGAUGAAGCUUCUUUGAAUGGAACUGACACGCUUCACACUUGGUUACUAGUGUCGUCGCAUCCUAGAGGGCGGUGGGCAGAAGAAACCUUGCCGAAACGCCUUGCCGGCAAGGGCCCUCGACCCUAUGUGGGAGCCACAUAUGCCUCCAUGUAUCUCUGCCAACAGCUCCAGUCCUUCCUCCGGGGGGAUGCACUUCAAUUUCACUCCAUUCGGCCUCCUCCUAUACAUGACGUCAUCGAUGAACUGGUACAGGGCAGACCGAUGGGCUACUUUUUCCGCUUCUUCCUGCUCCUCAGGAAGCUCCCCUGUUUGGAGGAAUCGGACGGUAUGUUGCGCCCGUGCCGGAGCCCGGGGCUCGACGGCAAGGACCAAAGGCAUCUUUUCCGCCAUGGGAGCGGUUGUCCCUACGGCCAGGGCAUGACGCCCUGCCGGAGCCAGUUGCUCUUGGGCAGCUCAGUGUGGACGGCAACAUCCUUGCCGGCCGUCCGAGGGGGCUCGGUGGGAAAGUACUUGCCGGGACCUGAUUUCCUUCGCUUGUUCUGCCCCAUUGAGGGUUCGACGGAUGGCUGAGUUAACCGGAGCAAAAAGGUACCUGGUUCCAUAGGUAGCUUGAAUGCCGCACGCUUUGAUAGGUAAUCAGCGAUGUCGUUCUCCAUUUGGGGGACAUGCUCCCCUUGGAUACCGUCAAAGCGCUCCUCCAGCUUCCUCACCUCAUCUACGUACGCCUCCAUCAAUGGGCUCUGGUAAUCCUUGUUGACCUCUCUAACAACAAGCUGCGAGUCACCCCUGACGAUGAGCUUCUUAACCCCGAGGUCUGCCGCGAUCCUGAGACCAGCAAGCAGCCCCUCGUACUCCGCGGUGUUGUUGGUGGACAUCUCCUUGGGAAAGUGCAUCUGGACCACGUACUUCAGGUGCUCUCCCGUGGGUGCGACGAGCAACACGCCAGCACCGGCGCCUUGCAGCGUCAAAGCCCCAUCAAAGUACAUGAUCCAGUCGCGGUCUGCUUCCUUGCCUGGGAGAGCGGUUUCCUGGAUUUCUUCGUCGGGCGUUGAGGUCCAUUCUGCAAUGAACUCCGCCGAGACUUUGCUCUGGAUUGUCGAGGUACUUUCAAACUUCAAACCAAAACUUGACAACUCCAAGGCCCAUUCCACAAUCCUUCCGGUUGCAUCUGGGUUAUGCAUCUGUUGCAAUGGGAGGCGGGUGACGACAGUGAUCUCUUGGGCUUGGAAGUAAUGACGCAGCUUCCUCGAGGCCAUCAGGAGGCCGAAGAGCAAUUUUUGCACACCGGAGUACCUCGACCUAGCCCCCUGCAAGAGGGAGCUGACAAAGUAAACUAGGUGCUGCAUCAUCUUCUUCUACACCACCUCACCCGACUGCGCAGGCACUGCCUUGGUGGUGUCAGACCCUGCCGGGGGCCUUGCCUUGCUGGCACCAGGCCCUGUCGGGGGGAUCUUUGGCUUGCCAUCCGCUGGUUCUGCCAUCGCCACUGCCUCCUCGUCGACCUCCCUCUGCGCCACCAGUGCGGCGCUGACCACUUGAUUCGUCGCCGCUAGAUACAGCAGCAACGGCUCUUGUGGUUUAGGCGCAACCAGUAUUGGCGUGGAGGAAAGGUAUUUCUUCAUAUCCUGCAACGCCGCCUCGGCCUCUGGGGUCCACUCCAUUGGGCCCGCCUUCUUCAAGAUUUUGAAGAAGGUAAGGGCACACUCGGCGGACUUGGAGAUGAAUCGGCUCAUGGCGGCGACGCAGCCAGUGAGCCGACGCACAUCUUUGAUCCACUUGGGCGCCUCAAUCUGCUCAAUAGCUUCGAUUUUGUCUGGGUUUGCCUCGAUCCCGCACUGCGACACAAAGAAUCCGAGAAGCUUGCCGGAUGGAACGCCGAAGACACACUUCUCAGGGUUCAGCUUAAGGUUGAUCUUGCGCAGGUUGGCAAAUGUCUCUUCCAGAUCUUGCACAAGAGUUGCCCCGUCCUUGGUUUUGACAACUAUGUCAUCCAUGUAUGCCUCCAUAUUUCUAUGGAUCUGGGUUCAAAACCAAUCUGGACUGCUCUUGCAAAUGUCGGGCCAGCACUCUUCAACCCAAAAGGCAUCCGUAAAAAGCAAUACGUACCACAUGGGGUGAUGAAUGCUAUCUUCUCUUCAUCCUCUCUUGUCAUGAAGAUUUGGUGGUAGCCCGAGUAGGCGUCGAGGAAUGAUAACAGAUCACACCCGGCCAUGGAGUCAAUAAUCUGGUCGAUGCGCGGCAACAGGAAGGGGUCCUUAGGAUUAGCCUUAUUGAUAUCUGUGUAAUCAAUACACAACCUCCACUUCCCAUUCGCCUUGCGCACCACUACCGGAUUGGCAAACCACAUCGGGUGGAGCACUCCUCUCACCAAAGCUGCCGCUUCCAACUUCCUGAUCUCCUCUGUGAUGAACUCCUGCCUCUCGAGAGCCCGCUUUCUGACCUUCUGCUUGACGGGCCACGCAUGAGGGCAGACAGCUAGGUGGUGCUCAAUCAACUCCCUGGGAACACCGGGGAUGUCGGAUGCUUGCCACGCAAACACGUCGACAUUUGCCCGCAGGAAGGUGACGAGCGCGCCUUCCUAUUUGCUGUCGAGGGUGGAGCCUAUGGUCAAGGCCCUGUUGGAAAUAUGCCCUAGAGGCAAUAAUAAAAAUGGUUAUUAUUAUAUUUCCUUGUUCAUGAUAAUUGUCUAUUGUUCAUGCUAUAAUUGUGUUAUCCGGAAAUCGUAAUACAUGUGUGAACACAUAGACCAUAACAUGUCCCUAGUGAGCCUCUAGUUGACUAGCUCGUUGAUCAAUAGAUGGUUACGGUUUCCUGACCAUGGACAUUGGAUGUCAUUGAUAAUGGGAUCACAUCAUUAGGAGAAUGAUGUGAUGGACAAGACCCAAUCCUAAGCAUAGCACUAGAUCGUGUAGUUCGUUUGCUGAGGCUUUUCUAAUGUCAAGUAUCAUUUCCUUAGACCAUGAGAUCGUGCAACUCCCGGAUACCGUAGGAAUGCUUUGGGUGUGCCAAACGUCACAACGUAACUGGGUGGCUAUAAAGGUGCACUACAGGUAUCUCCGAAAGUGUCUGUUGGGUUGGCUCGGAUCGAUACUGGGAUUUGUCACUCCGUAUGACGGAGAGGUAUCUCUGGGCCCACUCGGUAUUGCAUCAUCAUAAUGAGCUCAAUGUGACUAAGUAGUUAGUCACGGGAUCAUGCAUUAUGGAACGAGUAAAGUGACUUGCCGGUAACGAGAUUGAACGAGGUAUUGGGAUACCGACGAUCGAAUCUCGGGCAAGUAACGUACCGAUUGACAAAGGGAAUUGUAUACGGGAUUACUUGAAUCCUCGACAUCGUGGUUCAUCCGAUGAGAUCAUCGAGGAGCAUGUGGGAGCCAACAUGGGUAUCCAGAUCCCGUUGUUGGUUAUUGACCGGAGAGUCGUCUCAGUCAUGUCUGCGUGUCUCCCGAACCUGUAGGGUCUACACACUUAAGGUUCGGUAACGCUAGGGUUGUAGAGAUAUUAGUAUGCGGUAAGCCGAAAGUUGUUCGGAGUCCCGGAUGAGAUCCCGGACAUCACGAGGAGUUCCGGAAUGGUCCGGAGGUCAAGAUUUGUAUAUAGGAAGUCCAGUUUCGGCCACCGGGAAAGUUUCGGGGUCACCGGUAUUGUACCGGGACCACCGGAAGGGUCCCGGGGGUCCACCGGGUGGGGCCACCUAUCUCAGAGCACCCCAUAGGCUGAAGUGGGAAGGGAACCAGCCCCUGGUGGGCUGGUGCGCCCCCCAUGGGCCUCCCCCUGCGCCUAGGCUUGGAAACCCUGGGGGUGGGGGGCGCCCCACCUGACUUGGGGGGCAAGUCCCCCCUUGGCCGCCGCCCCCCUUGAGAUGGGAUCUCCAGGGGCCGGCGCCCCCCCCCAGGGCCCCUAUAUAAAGGGGGGAGGGAGGGCUGCGCACCUAAGCCCCUGGCGCCUCCCUCUUUCCCCGUAACACCUCUCCCUCUCGCUGAGCUUGGCGAAGCCCUGCCGAGAUCCCCGCUGCUUCCACCACAACCUCUCCUUUCCCCUUGCUGGAUCAAGACGAGUACGACUCCAUCAACCCCGUUCUCUUGAACGUUUCUGCUCGCGAUCUACAAGGGUAUGUAGAUGCACUCAUCUCUCUCGUUGCUAGAUGACUCCAUAGAUUGAUCUUGGUGAUGCGUAGAAAAUUUUAAAUUUAUGCUACGAUCCCCAACAGUGGCAUCAUGAGCUAGGUCUAUGCGUAGUUUCUAUGCACGAGUAGAACACAAGUUGUUGUGGGCGUUGAUUUUGUCAAUUUACUUGCCGUUACUAGUCUUAUCUUGAUUCGGCGGCAUCGUGGGAUGAAGCAGCCCGGACCGACCUUACACGUACACUUACGUGAGACAGGUUCCACCGACUGACAUGCACUAGUUGCAUAAGGUGGCUAGCGGGUGUCUGUCUCUCCCACUUUAGUCGGAUCGGAUUCGAUGAAAAGGGUCCUUAUGAAGGGUAAAUAGAAAUUGGCAUAUCACGUUGUGGUUUUGGCGUAGGUAAGAAUCGUUCUUGCUAGAAACCUAUAGCAGCCACGUAAAAGUUUGCAACAACAAUUAGAGGACGUCUAACUUGUUUUUGCAGCAAGUGUCAUGUGAUGUGAUAUGGCCAGAAGGAUGUGAUGAAUGAUAUAUGUGAUGUAUGAGAUUGAUCAUGUUCUUGUAAUAGGAAUCACGACUUGCAUGUCGAUGAGUAUGACAACCAGCAGGAGCCUAGGAGUUGUCUUAAUUUAUUUAUGACCUGUGUGUCAACUGAAACGUCAUGUAAUUACUUUACUUUAUUGCUAACGGUUAGCCAUAGUAGUAGAAGUAAUAAUUGGCGAGACAACUUCAUGAAGACACGAUGAUGGAGAUCAUGAUGAUGGAGAUCAAGGUGUCAUGCCAGUGACGAUGAUGAACAUGACGCCCCGAAGAUGGAGAUCAAAAGGAGCAAAAUGAUAUUGGCCAUAUCAUGUCACUAUUUGAUUGCAUGUGAUAUUUAUCAUGUUUUACAUCUUAUUUGCUUAGAACGACGGUAGCAUAAAUAAGAUGAUCCCUCGCUAAAAUUUCAAGAAAGUGUUCCCCCUAAUUGUGCAUCGUUGCGAAGGUUCGUUGUUCCGAAGCACCACGUGAUGAUCGAGUGUGAUGGGUUCUAACGUUCGCAUACAACGGGUGUAAGCCAGAUUUACACACGCAAUACACUUAGGUUGACUUGACGAGCCUAGCAUGUACAGACAUGGCCUCGGAACACAAGAGACCGAAAGGUCGAACAUGAGUCGUAUAGCAGAUACGAUCAACAUGAAGAUGUUCACCGAUGAUGACUAGUCCGUCUCACGUGAUGAUCGGACACGGCCUAGUUGACUCGGAUCAUGUAACACUUAGAUGACUAGAGGGAUGUCUGUCUGAGUGGGAGUUCGUUAAUAAUUUGAUUAGAUGAACUUUAUUAUCAUGAACUUAGUCUAAAAAUCUUUACAAUAUGUCUUGUAGAUCAAAUGGCCCACGCUAAUGUUGCCCUCAACUUCAACGCGUUCCUAGAGAAAACCAAGCUGAAAGACGAUGGUAGCAACUACACGGACUGGGUCCGUAACCUGAGGAUUAUCCUCGUAGCUGCCAAGAAAGCAUAUUUCCUUGAAGCACCGCUAGGUGAUGCACCUAUUUUCCCAGCAACUCAAGACGUUCUGAACGCCUGGCAGUCGCAUAGUGAUGAUUACUCCCUGGUUCAGUGCGGCAUGCUUUACAGCUUAGAACCGGGGCUCCAAAAGCGUUUUGAGCAGCACGGAGCAUAUGAGAUGUUCCAAGAGCUGAAAAUGGUUUUCCAAGCUCAUGCCCGGGUCGAGAGAUAUGAAGUCUCCGACAAGUUCUACAGUUGUAAGAUGGAGGAGAAUAGUUCCGUCAGCGAACACAUACUCAAAAUGUCUGGGUUGCACAAUCGCUUGUCUCAGCUGGGAGUUAAUCUCCCGGAUGACGCGGUCGUUGACAGAAUCCUUCAGUCGCUCCCACCUAACUACAAGAGCUUUGUGAUGAACUUCAAUAUGCAGGGGAUGGAAAAGACCAUUCCUGAGGUAUAUUCAAUGCUGAAAUCAGCGGAGGUGGAGAUCAAAAAGGAACAUCAAGUGUUGAUGGUGAAUAAAACCACUAAGUUCAAGAAAGGCAAGGGUAAGAAGAACUUCAAGAAAGACGGCAAGGGAGUUGCCGUGCCCGGUAAGCAAGCUGCCGGGAAGAAGACAAAUAAUGGACCUAAGCCUAAGACUGAGUGCUUUUAUUGCAAGGGAAACGGUCACUGGAAGCAGAACUGCCCCAAAUACUUAGCGGAUAAGAAGGCCGGCAAUACCAAAGGUAUAUGUGAUAUACAUGUUAUUGAUGUGUACCUAACCAGCGCUCGUAGUAGCUCCUGGGUAUUUGAUACCGGUGCGGUUGCUCAUAUUUGUAACUCAAAGCAGGAGCUGCGGAAUAAGCGGAGACUGGCGAAGGACGAGGUGACGAUGCGCGUCGGGAAUGGUUCCAAGGUCGAUGUGAUCGCCGUCGGCACGCUACCUCUACAUUUACCUACGGGAUUAGUUUUAAAACUCAAUAAUUGUUAUUUAGUGCCAGCUUUGAGCAUGAACAUUGUAUCUGGAUCUCGUUUAAUGCGAGAUGGCUACUCAUUUAAAUCCGAGAAUAAUGGUUGUUCUAUUUAUAUGAGAGAUAUGUUUUAUGGUCAUGCCCCGUUGGUCAAUGGUUUAUUCUUAAUGAAUCUCGAACGUGACGUUACACAUAUUCAUAGUGUGAAUGCCAAGAAAUGUAAGGUUGAUAAUGAUAGUCCCACAUACUUGUGGCACUGCCGCCUUGGUCACAUUGGUGUCAAACGCAUGAAGAAACUCCAUGCAGAUGGACUUUUGGAGUCUCUUGAUUAUGAAUCAUUUGACACGUGCGAACCAUGCCUCAUGGGCAAAAUGACCAAGACUCCAUUCUCCGGAACAAUGGAGCGAGCAACCAACUUAUUGGAAAUCAUACAUACUGAUGUGUGCAGUCCAAUGAGCGUUGAGGCUCGCGGUGGCUAUCGUUAUGUUCUCACCCUCACUGAUGACUUGAGUAGAUAUGGGUAUGUCUACUUAAUGAAACACAGGUCUGAGAUCUUUGAAAAGUUCAAGGAAUUUCAGAGUGAGGUUGAGAAUCAACAUGACAAGAAAAUAAAGUUCUUACGAUCAGAUCGUGGAGGGGAAUAUUUGAGUCACGAAUUUGGCACACACUUAAGGAAAUGUGGAAUUGUUUCACAACUCACGCCGCCUGGAACACCUCAGCGUAAUGGUGUGUCCGAACGUCGUAAUCGCACUCUAUUGGAUAUGGUGCGAUCUAUGAUGUCUCUUACCGAUCUACCGUUACCAUUCUGGGGUUAUGCUUUAGAGACUGCCGCAUUCACUUUAAAUAGGGCGCCGUCGAAAUCCGUUGAGAUGACACCGUAUGAAUUAUGGUUUGGAAAGAAACCUAAGCUGUCGUUUCUUAAAGUUUGGGGAUGCGAUGCUUAUGUCAAGAAACUUCAACCUGAAAAGCUCGAACCCAUGUCGGAAAAAUGCGUCUGCAUAGGAUACCCUAAGGAAACCAUUGGGUAUACCUUCUACCUCAGAUCCGAAGGCAAGAUCUUCGUUGCCAAGAACGGGUCCUUUCUGGAGAAAGAGUUUCUCUCGAAAGAAGUAAGUGGGAAGAAAGUGGAACUUGAUGAGAUGACCCCUCUAUAACCGGAAAGUAGCACAGCACAAGAAAAUGUUUCUGUGGUGCCUGCACCGACUAGAGAGGAAGUUAAUGAUGACGAUCAUGAUCAAGUUACCACUGAACUUCCUAGGUCCACAAGGACACGUUCCGCACCAGAGUGGUACGGCAACCCUGUCUUGGAAAUCAUGUUGUUGGACAACGGUGAACCUUCGAACUAUGAAGAAGCAAUGGCGGGUCCAGAUUCCAACAAAUGGCUUGAAGCCAUGCAAUCUGAGAUAGGAUCCAUGUAUGAAAACAAAGUGUGGACUUUGACAGACUUGCCCGAUGAUCGGCGAGCGAUAGAAAAUAAAUGGAUCUUUAAGAAGAAGACGGACGCGGAUGGAAAUGUUACCAUCUAUAAAGCUCGACUUGUCACUAAGGGUUAUCGACAAGUUCAAGGAGUUGACUACGAUGAGACCUUCUCACCCGUAGCGAAGCUGAAGUCCGUCCGAAUCAUGUUAGCAAUUGCCGCAUUCUACGAUUAUGAAAUAUGGCAAAUGGACGUCAAAACGGCAUUCCUUAACGGCUUCCUUAAGGAAGAAUUGUAUAUGAUGCAGCCGGAAGGUUUUGUCGAUCCUAAGAAUGCUGACAAAGUAUGCAAGCUCCAGCGCUCAAUCUAUGGGUUGGUGCAGGCAUCUCGGAGUUGGAACAUUCGCUUUGAUGAGAUGAUCAAAGCGUUUGGGUUUACACAGACUUAUGGAGAAGCCUGUGUUUACAAGAAAGUGAGUGGGAGCUCUGUAGCAUUUCUAAUAUUAUAUGUGGAUGACAUACUAUUGAUGGGAAAUGAUAUAGAAUUCUUGGAAAGUAUAAAGGCCUACUUGAAUAAGUGUUUUUCAAUGAAGGACCUUGGAGAAGCUGCUUACAUAUUAGGCAUCAAGAUCUAUAGAGAUAGAUCGAGACGCCUCAUAGGUCUUUCACAAAGCACAUACCUUGACAAGAUAUUGAAGAAGUUCAAUAUGGAUCAGUCCAAGAAGGGGUUCUUGCCUGUAUUGCAAGGUGUGAGAUUGAGCACGGCUCAGUCCAAGAAGGGGUUCUUGCUUGUAUUGCAAGGUAUGCCAUGCUGUGUACCAGACCUGAUGUAAACCUUGCCGUGAGUUUGGUAGGAAGGUACCAAAGUAAUCCCGGCAUGGAACACUGGACAGCGGUCAAGAACAUCCUGAAGUACCUGAAAAGGACUAAGGAUAUGUUUCUCGUUUAUGGAGGUGACGAAGAGCUCGUCGUAAAGGGUUACGUCAAUGCUAGCUUCAACACAGAUCUGGAUGACUCUAAGUCACAAACCGGAUACGUGUAUAUUUUGAAUGGUGGGGCAGUCAGCUGGUGCAGUUGCAAGCAAAGGGUCGUGGCGGGAUCUACAUGUGAAGCGGAGUACAUGGCAGCCUCGGAGGCAACACAUGAUGCAAUCUGGAUGAAGGAGUUCAUUGCCGACCUAGGAGUUAUUCCCAAUGCAUCGGGGCCGAUGACUCUCUUCUGUGACAACACUGGAGCUAUUGCCCUUGCCAAGGAGCCCAGGUUUCACAAGAAGACCAGGCACAUCAAGCGUCGCUUCAACUCCAUUCGUGAAAAUGUUCAAAAUGGAGACAUAGAUAUUUGCAAAGUACAUACGGAUUUGAAUGUCGCAGAUCCGUUGACUAAACCUCUUCCACGGGCAAAACAUGAUCAACACCAGAACACUAUGUGUGUACGAUUCAUCACAAUGUAACUAGAUUAUUGACUCUAGUGCAAGUGGGAGACUGUUGGAAAUAUGCCCUAGAGGCAAUAAUAAAAAUGGUUAUUAUUAUAUUUCCUUGUUCAUGAUAAUUGUCUAUUGUUCAUGCUAUAAUUGUGUUAUCCGGAAAUGGUAAUACAUGUGUGAACACAUAGACCAUAACAUGUCCCUAGUGAGCCUCUAGUUGACUAGCUCGUUGAUCAAUAGAUGGUUACGGUUUCCUGACCAUGGACAUUGGAUGUCAUUGAUAACGGGGUCACAUCAUUAGGAGAAUGAUGUGAUGGACAAGACCCAAUCCUAAGCAUAGCACUAGAUCGUGUAGUUCGUUUGCUGAGGCUUUUCUAAUGUCAAGUAUCAUUUCCUUAGACCAUGAGAUCAUGCAACUCCCGGAUACCGUAGGAAUGCUUUGGGUGUGCCAAACGUCACAACGUAACUGGGUGGCUAUAAAGGUGCACUACAGGUACCUCCGAAAGUGUCUGUUGGGUUGGCUCGGAUCGAGACUGGGAUUGGUCACUCCGUAUGACGGAGAGAUAUCUCUGGGCCCACUCGGUAUUGCAUCAUCAUAAUGAGCUCAAUGUGACUAAGUAGUUAGUCACAGGAUCAUGCAUUACGGAACGAGUAAAGUGACUUGCUGGUAACGAGAUUGAACGAGGUAUUGGGAUACCGACGAUCGAAUCUCGAGCAAGUAACGUACCGAUUGACAAAGGGAAUUGUAUACGGGAUUACUUGAAUCCUCGACAUCGUGGUUCAUCCGAUGAGAUCAUCGAGGAGCAUGUGGGAGCCAACAUGGGUAUCCAGAUCCCGUUGUUGGUUAUUGACCGGAGAGUCGUCUCAGUCAUGUCUGCGUGUCUCCCGAACCUGUAGGGUCUACACACUUAAGGUUCAGUAACGCUAGGGUUGUAGAGAUAUUAGUAUGCGGUAACCCGAAAGUUGUUCGGAGUCCCGGAUGAGAUCCCGGACAUCACGAGGAGUUCCGGAAUGGUCCGGAGGUGAAGAUUUAUAUAUAGGAAGUCCAGUUUCGGCCACCGAGAAAGUUUCGGGGUCACCGGUAUUGUACCGGGACCACCGGAAGGGUCCCGGGGGUCCACCGGGUGGGGCCACCUAUCUCGAAGGGCCCCAUGGGCUGAAGUGGGAAGGGAACCAGCCCCUGGUGGGCUGGUGCGCCCCCCCAUGGGCCUCCCCCUGCGCCUUGAGUUGGAAACCCUGGGGGUGGGGGCGCCCCACCUGACUUGGGGGGCAAGUCCCCCCUUGGCCGCCGCCCCCCUUGAGAUGGGAUCUCCAGGGGCCGGCGCCCCCCCAGGGCCCCUAUAUAAAGGGGGGAGGGAGGGCUGCGCACCUAAGCCCCUGGCACCUCCCUCUUUCCCCGUAACACCUCUCCCUCUCGCUGAGCUUGGCGAAGCCCUGCGGAGAUCCCCGCUGCUUCCGCCAUCACGCCGUCGUGCUGCUGGAUCUCCAUCAACCUCUCCUUUCCCCUUGCUGGAUCAAGAAGGAGGAGACAUCUCUCCCAACCGUACGUGUGUUGAACGCGGAGGUGCCGUCCGUUCGGCGCUAGGAUCAUCGGUGAUUUGGAUCACGACGAGUACGACUCCAUCAACCCCGUUCUCUUGAACGUUUCCGCUCGCGAUCUACAAGGGUAUGUAGAUGCACUCAUCUCUCUCGUUGCUAGAUGACUCCAUAGAUUGAUCUUGGUGAUGCGUAGAAAAUUUUAAAUUUCUGCUACGAUCCCCAACAGGCCCCUCCCGUGCCGUCCUCCGUGGCGGACACCUUCUUGGUCUGCGGUGGCUCGGCUCUGGAUUUCUUGCUCUUGUCGGUAGAGCUCUCUGGCACGUCCUCGACGGCAGCGCAGCACUCCAAAGAGGUGUGCUUGCCGGAGUGGGUGCGAGAGGUCUUGCCGGGCUUCUUCUUCCCUCCCGGGCCUUCAGCGGUAGGAGCAGGUGCCUUGACGGCAGCUGCUGCAAUUGCUUCCCGGUAGAGUUGGUCGGCGCAAAUCAGCACGUCCUUCUUGUCGGAGGGGACGGACAUGAUGGUCAACGGCCCGGGCAUCUUUAGCAUGUUGUCGGCGUAAUGUGACGCCGCCAUGAACUUGGCUAGUGCCGGGCGGCCAAGGAUCCCGUUGUAGGGCAAGGGGAUCUCGGCCACGUCGAAGAUGAUCCUCUCCGUCCUGUAGUUCAACUCCCCUCCAAACGUCACGGGCAGUGUGACCUUCCCCUUCGGCUAGCUCCUCCCCAGAUUGACCCAUUGAACCGUGCACGUUUCCUCGAGGUCUCCAUCAGGAAUUUGCAGAAUUUUGAUCACGACGGGCAAGAUCAAAUUCAGGCCGGCCCCGCCGUGAACCAACAUCUUGUUCAACUUGAGGUUGCGUAUCAUUGGUGAGACCAACAAUGGCAAACACCCGACCGCGGUUGUGCGGUCAGGGUGGUCCUCGGCGUCAAAGAUGAGGGGCGUGCUGGACCACUUCAGCAGAUCUGAGCGUCGAACGACGGCUCAGCUGUUGUAAUCUCACACGCCCACUGCUUGACCUGGCGGUGAGAAGUAUGCAGCGAGGCGCCACCAUCGAAGCACAUGGCCUCCGUAGCCUUCUAGAACUCUUGCUCACAGGACUCAUUGUCCUCGUCGUGAUCAUCGUCUUCUUGUUUCUUGUCAUGGCUCCGGGCGGGCCUCUCUUGCUGGUUGUCCUUGCCGGGGGGGCUUCCUUGGCCGCCACGCUUCUUGCCGGAUCCCUGGGCAUCGUCCUGACCCUUCUCCUUGUCCCGCCUUUCAUACUCGGCCUUUUGCUUUUCAGCAAGCAGCUCGACUUGUCGGCAGUUCUGGAGGUCGUGGCCCUUGGUGCGGUGGAUCUUGCAGUACUGCUUGCCGGAGCCCCCUGGCUUAUCGGCAACUGCUAAGGCCCGGCAGGCGGCGCACCCGGCCAUCUCCUUGUCGGGGCCGUCUGCCUUGACCUUCUUGGCAGCGCCGGUGUCGUCAGAACCCUCGACGGCAAGUACGGCCUUGCCCUUGCGUUUCUUGUUGCGACGCCGGCCCUUCUUUGUCGGGGUGGCGGCGUCUUCGUCGGUAGAGUCGGUUUCCGCACUGGCAUCUUUGCCGGGGUACUUCCUUCCCUCUUCAGCCUGGGCGCAUCUAUCGGCCAGAACGUAGAGCUCGGCCACAUCCUUAACAUUGGUCAUCGCCAGCACUUCGCGCAUCUUGCAGCUGCGCAUGUUCUGAUGGAACGCGCUGAUCACAUCGGCGGGAUGAACGUCGGGGAUGUUGUACUGCACCCGGCUGAAUCUCUAGAUGUUCUUGCGUAGGGGUUCCCCUUCCUUCUGGGGAAUGAUAUGUAGAUCACUGGCCUGGCCAUGAGCUUGGUGGCCUCCCAUGAAGGUGCCAAUGAACUCAUGGCACAGAUCCGACCAAGAAGAAAUGGAGUCCGCCGGCAAGUGCAUCAACCAAGACAUAACAUUGGGCUUCAGCGCCAGCGGGAAAUAAUUGGCAAGCACCUUGUCAUCGCAAGCUCCAGCAGCCUACAUCGCGAUGGUGUAGAUGCUGAGGAACUUGGACGGAUGGGUCUUGCCAGUGUACUUCUCGCCGACGUCGGGCUUGAACUUGCGGUGGGACAGCCACUGGAACUGCCGCAGCUCGCGGGUAAAGGCCGGGCAGCCCACCUUGUAAGGUAGGCCGCCGGAGCCCCCCGGUGCUGGGUGGUCCAUAGCGGGUCCCGCCCGCUUGUCCGACUGGUGGCGUGUAUUGCGCCGGCGCUCGAUAGUGGUUCGAGCAUCUUCGUGAGCUCGUUCUCGAAGAACUUGGCGCUGGUCGUGAUGGGUCCGCGGGUCGGACGAUGUUAUCACAAGCGUCGUCACGAUGGGCCGACACCCGCGGCGGCUGGCGAGGAGGAGGAGAGUGCACCGUGGCCGCAGCACCCCCGGCCCUCCCAGCGCUGGCAUGUGGUGGCUCGGUGGAGCGCCGGCCCGAGGGCCCCACUGGUCGCGGAUCGUCUUUGUUGGCGAUGGCGACGAGGCUCCGGAUGGUGGCUCUCCACUCGUUGAGCUUCUCCGCAGCAGGAGGGAAGUCGAGGAGUAGCUGCGCGCGUGCCAAAGAUUCUGCUGGCGUGGGUGGCGGCGACAGCUUUGUGGACCGUGGCGCGCUUCGACUUCUAACCAAGUUAGAAGGAGCUCCACCACGACCCAGGGGCUGCGCGACAUUUUCGCCAGCACUUCGGCGGGCAUGCUAAACUCCUUCGUCCUGUGGACGACGCACAGGGCUCUUCCCACGGCGGUGCCCAGGGUCACCAGCGUGGUGACGCUGCUCGUCGCACACACCAUGGGAAGAGCGCAGUGGUCGCCGGCAUGGGCGUCUUGGAGGUUGUUGCGCCGCCCGUGGGUGGCACAACGACACUCCUGGAGGGCCCCGCGCUGCCUAUGGGGGGCCCAGCCCCAUCUUUAGACUUGGUGAUGUGCGGCCCGUCCCCUGGCGCGCGAACGGCGCUACUCGCUAGGCUCUGACUGCUAGGCGAUGCUGGUGCUCGCGGACCGCGGCUCGGGUUCUGUCCGCGACCGGUCCGCUGCUCGCCCAUACUGGCAUGGGCCGCUCGGCCCCCGACGAGCCGAUCGCCGUGGCCGUCUUCUUCUUGGGAUCCAUGGCGAUGAAGAAACGCUAGGCUAGCUACUAGAACAGAUUCUCGCAAUUGCGCCCCCCUACCUGGCGCGCCAAAGAUGUCGGUGUGGAACGACACCUAUGGGAUCACAAGAAUCCCUACUACGGUUGUCGGGGCACAGGGUUGCGAGAAGAGCAGGAUUAGUAGCCAGGACAAGGAUCGUUUACCCAGGUUCGGGCCGUGAAGAUGCGUAAAACCCUAGUCCUGCUUUGGUGGGUGUAUUUCAGAGAGUUCUUGAGCUCUCAAACUAGCUAUGGUGGGGUGCGUGGUUCCAAAGAGCCGAAUCCUCCUCCAGUAUGCCAUGGGCCUCCUUUUAUAGUCGAAAGGGGCUGCCACAGUGGCAUACAGGAGGUGGAAGGGCGUACAGUAUUGCGAGCUUAUCGCUCGUAUUACAGGACAAGACGCAUUUAAUGCACCGCUGAGGUGUCCCCUAGCUUUAUCGGGGACGGGGGCGAGGCCCGUCCCGUCCGCCGCCGCUCCUCCUCGCUUCGACACGCGCCCUGGCCAGCGAUGCGUGCGGCGCCAUGUAGGCAGGCAGGCAGCUGAGGUGGCGUGGUGGUGGAGCCUUCGCGAAGAUCCGCAUGCCGCCACGCAGGCGCUUGAUGAGUUGGCCUGGGAGCUGCAUGUUGCCACGCAGGUGCCUGCUCAGUUGGUUGAGCUGGCAGCUGCAUGCGAACGGCGGCGGAGACUUGGUUGGUGCGGGCCUGGCAGUGGCCCUGCUGGUGCCCUUGGCGAGGGCCUUGCCAGGUUGCCCGGCAAGGUCUUGUCGUGGCGCGCUGUCGUCCCCAGCAAGGAUCUUGCCGGGGGUCUUGUGGCCUUCCUCGGCAAGGAUCUUGCCGAGGGCUGUUUGUCUUUUAAUCCUCAUCUGAUCUUGAACCUUGGUCUUGACAAAGAUCUGCAUGCCACCAUGGAGGUGCCUCCCGAGCCCUAGUUCCAACGUGGUUGGCUGAGUUGGAACCCGUGGGCUCGAGGGUGGCUCACUCCGCUGGUGUGGGCGAGCCGCCCCGGCAAGGGUCUUGCCGGGGGAACCUGCUUCGUCCCUCUGCUCUUUGUGGUCUUGGUGUUGGUGUUGCUCUGGCUUGCCCCGGGCUUCGGUUUUACCUCGAUUCACCUCCCCUGCUCUGCUUGGUGUGGCCGUGGGCGCGGCUCUGACUGUCCAUGCACAGGUAAAGGGGUACAAAGGUGCGCCCCUUCUUUUGUACACCGACAGUACUUCUGGCAAUCCGACACCAAAUGAACUGCUCCACGUCCACCGCUUGUGAGCAAAAGUUUCUCCUCGUGCUGCGAGCCAUCGCGCACGCGUUGGCGAGGGAGCUCGCCAUUCCGCGAGUUGACAGGGCACAUCAAAGUUAUUUAGUACUCUCUCCAAAAAGGGCCAACCAUGUCCAUGGCUACCAUCCCGUGCUCCGUCAUUGAGUACGUGCACUAUUCACAUGCCAUCGAGGAGAAAAAAUAUUGCAUCGUACUAGGUGCCAUCGAAGUGCACGAUUCACUUACGCACUGCUUAUCUCCAUUUUCUUGCAUGACACGUGCACCUUGAUUUUAGAUGUCCCGCGUGUUGGCAAAAGGAUGAACAAAGCUCGCGUAAAAAAGAGAGUGGAAGAACAUAGGGCAUGUUUGGUUCCCAGCCUAGGGUUGCCACGUCUAACCUUAGUCAUGCCACAACAUCUUAGACAUGGGUUUGGUUCAUUGCCACACUUGUGGCUUGCCACACUUCUCUAGUUAUAUGGUCCACAUGUCAUAGGCUCAAUUUUUUUGCCAAAUCUUGCCACAUUUGUGGUGGCCAUAGCCACACUUUUUGUGGCAGCCACACUUUGCCUAAGAUUAGUUAUGGCAAAGGGGCUGUUUGGUUCCAGGCCUAGCAUUGCACACUUUGCCACACAUUUUUGCCAAGCUUGCCAAAGGUUAAUUCAUCAAAAUGAGAGCCAUAAGUUGGCAAGCCUAAGGGAAUCUUGCCUUAUUUUUUGUGUGUAUGCCAUGUGGGGUCCAAGUGUGGCUUGACUAAGGUGUGGCUUGAACCAAACACUCACCUCAUUGAUUCUACGUGGUGUGUCUAUGAACCAAACAUCCUCAUAGAUUCCUGACGAGCGAGAAGGAGCAAAGAACCCCGCGGUAGAGCGUCUGUACUCACAAUAUUUUAUAUUACUCCCUCCGUCCAAGUGAAUAAGUCAUCUUUGGUUGUGCACUGUGACCAAGGAGAGAAAAACAAGAGAACUUAAUGUUUAUUUUCUAAUUAAUAGCAUUGCAUGCAAUGAACUAACCACUUCAUGUCGUGUUUGGUAGUCUCGAGUCAUUGAAAACAUGCACGCCCACAUCUCUUAUUGGUUGAUAUAUCAAGAAACAAGAAACGAGGUGGGAGUUAAUGCACCGCGCCUAAGUGUUUUGGGAUUAUUUGGUUUUCGUAAAGUAACUUAUACACCUAGAUGGAGGGAGUACCUUGUGAUAACCCACAAGUAUAGGGGAUCUUUUGUAACCUUCUUCGAUAAAUAAGAGUGUCGAACCCAACGAGGAGCUAAAGGCAGAACAAAUAUUCCCUCAAGUUCUAUCGACCACCGAUACAACUCUACGCACACUUGAUGUUUGCUUUACCGGAAACAAGUAUAAAAAUAUUAUGGAAGGAUAAAACUAUAAGUACUUUGUGAGAAUAGAACUAUGAAUAAAUUGCAAGGUAAUAAAAGUGGAUAGCUUUUGUCAACAAGAAAGUUAUUUGUCGCUAGGCAAUCGAUAACAAGUACCGGUAAUCAUUCUUGUAAUUUUAUAUGAGGGAGAGGCAUGAGCUAACAUACUUUCUCUACUUGGAUCAUAUGCACUUAUGAUUGGAACUCUAGCAAGCAUCCGCAACUACUAAAGAUCAUUAAGGCCGUGAAACCCAACCAUAGCAUUAAGUAUCAAGUCCUCUUUACUCCCAUACGCCAUAACCCACCUAUCCACGUUUAAGUUUCUUUCACUCCCGCAACACUGACAAUAAGCAAAUCAUGAACAUAUUGCAACACCCUAUAGCGGGGGCCCCUCAUGUUUGCAUGAGACGGAGGGCACCGUAGGACAACACCAUAAAUAAAAUAUACAAUCAUACCAACCAAGAUCACGAUUAACCCACAGGACAAAACGGAUCUACUCAAAAACCAUAGGAUAACCAUCUAUCAUUGGGAAAUAAUAUAUGGAGUUGAGCACCAUGUUUAAGUAGAGAUUACAGCGGGGGGAAGAGGUGUUACACCGCUGCAUAGAGGGGGAGAAAGUUGGUGUUGACGGUAGCAAGAUUGUUGAUGUAGAUCGCCGUCACGAUCCUAGCCCCGACGGCACUCUGGCGCCACUGGGAGAGAGGGGGAGAGAGCCCCCUCCUUCUUCUUCUUCCUUGGCCUCCCCCUAGAUGGGAGGAGGGUUCCCCCUCUGGUCCAUGGUCUCCAUGGCGGCGGAGGGGCGGGAGCCCCUCCGAGAUCGGAUGUAACAUCCCAAUUUUCAAUUCGGAUGUUAUACAUAGGUCAUCGUAUGCAUAUCAUAUUUUAUUUGCAUUAUGUUUGCAAUCCUUGAAAUCUUAAGCAACUCAAGGACACACGGAGAGAGUUGGGGAUUUCAUUAUUUUCAUAUUUGAAUUUUCUCAAAUUUGAAAAGAGGAUCAUUUUGGUUUAAUAUUUUUCUCUCCAAAAUAUUUCCAAUAUAAAAAUAAAUGAGAGGAGACAAAAUGGCUUCUCCAAAAUAAAAGAAAUAUUGGAGGAAAAAUGUUAAGAUCAAAUAAAUAUUUUAUUUUGGAUUUUUAUUCGAAAUUUAAUUGAAUUAGAAAAAUAUGCAUUUUUUCAAAAUUGCACGUUUAGGCCAGAAAAAUGUUCACUAUGUUCUAAAUAUUUUAUUUAGACGGUGAAAAUUGUUUCUGGCAUUUUUCGAUUUUUUUAUAGUUUAUUAGGAUUUUUCCUUUUCGGUGGAAUAUAUUUUAAAAAAAGGAAAACGCGUCGCCGGACUCGGCCAAUGGCCCAGCCGAGCGGGCCGAAGCCCAGCGCACCGCCGCCUCCCGCUCCGGGUCGGGACCGGACUCCCGAGCGCUGCGGCCGCCGUGUCCACGCGGGACACGCCUCCCGAGGCCGUGCCCCUCCCCCAAGCAGCCACCCCCCCUUUAUAACCCGCACCGCCGCCGCCCCUCCCCACCNNNNNNNNNNNNNNNNNNNNNNNNNNNNNNNNNNNNNNNNNNNNNNNNNNNNNNNNNNNNNNNNNNNNNNNNNNNNNNNNNNNNNNNNNNNNNNNNNNNNNNNNNNNNNNNNNNNNNNNNNNNNNNNNNNNNNNNNNNNNNNNNNNNNNNNNNNNNNNNNNNNNNNNNNNNNNNNNNNNNNNNNNNNNNNNNNNNNNNNNNNNNNNNNNNNNNNNNNNNNNNNNNNNNNNNNNNNNNNNNNNNNNNNNNNNNNNNNNNNNNNNNNNNNNNNNNNNNNNNNNNNNNNNNNNNNNNNNNNNNNNNNNNNNNNNNNNNNNNNNNNNNNNNNNNNNNNNNNNNNNNNNNNNNNNNNNNNNNNNNNNNNNNNNNNNNNNNNNNNNNNNNNNNNNNNNNNNNNNNNNNNNNNNNNNNNNNNNNNNNNNNNNNNNNNNNNNNNNNNNNNNNNNNNNNNNNNNNNNNNCGCGCCGCCAUCGCCCACGCCGCCGCACGCCGCCCCGCCUUGCCGGAUCACGCCGCCGCCCGCCGGAUCUCGCUGCCGGUCUUUCCGGUUAAACCGUAUAAAACCGUUCGUUUUUUCGGUAAACCCUAGAUCGUUUUUUUCUAGAUCGGGUUUUCUCGGUUUUCUUCGGUUAGUUUAUUCUACGAACGUUCGUUCGUUUAGUUCUUAUAACUAACAAAUUUGCUCGUUUUCCUCUGUUAGCGGACGUUCGCGUCGUAGUCUUUUUCUUUUUCUUUUAUUUUCGGCCAAGGAUAUAUCCGCGAUUAUUUUUAUCACAGAUUAGCCCCUGAUCUUCAAACCCUCGCAACUUUUUAACCGUUUGUCCAAAUCUAGUGAAACCAACGCCAAAAUCUACCUCUCGAACCCCUCUUUCUAGUUAAUUAACUUGAACAUGGUUUUGACAAUUUAAAAUUUGUUUUCAUGCAGAUUUGAUUUUGAACUUCUUUUGACCGAAGUUUGAGUUUCGUAGCUCCGAUUUGAUUGAUUAUUUUUGCAAAUCAAAGCUCUUCAGUUGAACUUUUAGUUUGGAUUUCAUUAUUUGAGUUUUACCCUUGCAUCUAUGCUUGAGUGCUUAUGUAUGCUAUUGUUUAUUUGUGAUAGAAUUUCCGGAGUGCGAAGCGUGCUACUACGAGUCACUAGGGCUUGCAGAUCGUCAGCAAGGCAAGUAACACAUUGAUCAUACUUCUUUACUACCCAGUUUUCUAUGCAUUAGUUCAACCCUCAAACAUUGCGUGAGUAGGAUCUCUUAACAUGUGGGUAUUGGGAAGUAGUUGAUGAGGUAGAACCUAUUGUCUUUAUAUCGAACCCUUGGGAGUUACUUCUACGUUAUGCUUAUACCGCUAUGCUAUGCUAGUAGACGUGGUUUGGGUUUGAGUGUAUCUAUGACAGAUCUGAGAUUGUUAAUUAAUGGUUAACUUAAGGUGGCUACUUAAAUACACAUCUGGGUGGAUUGUUUGUGGGCACCUGGGAAUCCAGUGUUGUCCAAGGAGAUCCCGGGGCAUCCGUGUGAUCAUCCUAUGGUUCACCACCCAGGCUCAAAGGUAUCAUAAUAUUAUUCAAGCUAGAAAACUUCCGUGUGCAGCCACAAGCGAUUAUGGGCUCUGGCAUAGUUGAGUAUGUUGUGUGACCUCUUUCAGUGGUAAACUAGCAGAUGUAGGGGAUGUAGGUGGUACGGUUUACCCGUCGAAAGAGUUAAUGCUUCUGAAAGACUGUGUCUCGGUCAUCCCUUUCUCAAACACCAUGAAGUGCGAGAAUUCCAUGGAGGAGAUCGAGUCUUGUGGGGAAAAGUGCGCAAACCUCUGCAGAGUGACCAAACUAAUCAUGGUUAGCCAUGUCCCCGGUUAUGGACAUCUUGAGUAUCUGGUUCUUGAAUUAUCAUGUUGAUCUCAUCACUCUAAAUUAAUUUGUUGGGUUGGAAAUACUGUUUAAUUGGGAUUGAGAUGGGGUUACCAUUCUCAAUGUUUAUCAACUACCAUGAUAGUUAAAGAAAAUAUAUUCCUUUGUUGUAGGGAAAAAUUGGCUUUUCGCAAAAACUUGUUAACCAUAGAGCCUCCACCAGCCAUAAAUGCAUGUUGUGAUAGCUUUUACCUGUUCAUUGCUCUAAUGUGUUAUUUUGCCAGCAUAUUCCAUGUGUUUACCCGUUUCGGGCUGCAACGUAUUAUGUUGCAGACUUUUCAGACGAAGAGUAAGGUGCGCUAGGUCGUUGUCGUGCACUCAGCUAUGCCGUUGGAGUUGAUGGACUCAUUUACCUUUUGAUGCUUCUGCAGUUAUCUUAUUUAGAUGGCCUUAAGCCAUAUUAUUGUAAUAAGUUCUCUUUUGAGACAUUGGAUGUAAUAAGUGUGUGAUUGCACUCUGUUAUAAAUCCUUCAAGUACUGUGUGUGUCAGCAUUAUCGAUCCAGGGAUGACACUUAUGCACAGAUAUUUGACCGUCCGAGGUCGGAUUGCUACAAGAUGGUAUCAGAGCACACGCUGAUUGUAGGACACUACCACUAAGAUAAGCCAUAGGUCACUCUUCUCUACUCAUUUCUGAAUCCUCUCCAUUUUCCACUUAUAGGAUGGCGGACCCAAGGAACAAAUUUGCACAACCGGAUGAAGACACACCUUUUGGGAGACACUUGAAGGAAGUCACUAGGUACCUGAACAUCGGAAUACCAAGCUUCACUGGGACCUACACCGCCACUUUACCAGAAGAGGAGCGUUGGAUGAUUCGAGUUCAAGUUCCAGGAAGGACAUUCACGCCAGUUAUUGAGCCCAUAGAGUAGGAUUUCCGAUCCUAGCGGGAAAAGGAGGGAAACGGAUACUCAAUUUAAAACGCGCCACUUCUAAUGUAAGGAUUGCUAAAAGGAAAAUUUGGGAGAAGUUUCCUUUGAUGCACCAACCUGUAGGCUAGGUAAGAGCAUGGCAGCCCACAUCGCCAUGGGACGCAUCGGCGAAGUUUAUCACAAGGAUCUUAAGGACACCAUCUACCAGAUAUGUGGGCGCCAAGAUGAGCAAUAGGAGAUGAUCAGCACCAGGAGGGACAGGUCCAUUGCAUCUUUCAUCCAGGAGUUAAACCAAAUGUGCGCAAGCAUGAUAGAACUGAAAAAGGUGAUGACCAGGAACUUGGAGCUAGAGGAAGAACUCAAGUCUACACGCGACGGUUACGAGGAGGAAAUCACAAUACUAGUAGAGAAGAAUGACGACCUGACAAGGAAGCUAGGAGUACUCAUGGGAGACCUCGUGCCAGGAGGAGAUGACGACCACCCCGAGGACUACAUCAUCAUCGACGACACCGACUCCGACCCCGACAGUAGUGAUAAUGAUUACGAAGACGAAGCUGGAGCAGAUAUCAUGGAGUCUUCCACUGAUCCAAAUUUCUAGAUGACCACCAUAUUAUCAGUAGUAUUUCCCCCAUGUAUAUAGUAGUAGUCCGAGUAUUUUGUAACGGUAGUUAGAUCGAUUGUAUGCCCUUGUUUGAAUUGAUUGGUGUGAUAUGAAUGUGUUUGUCUCAUGUGCAUAUGGGUAGUGCUUUCUCACUAGACCUCACUCUAUUCUUACCUCUUCCCUCUAAACCCAUCAGAUGCCUCCGAGACGUGACCCCGGAUUUGUCUUCCCACCGGAGCUCACUCAGUUGAUCCAACAGCAGAAUGCCUUGAUGCAACUACUAGUACAGAACCAAGGCAACAACAACAACCCACCGCCACCACCUCUAGUUGACAACUUAGCCUGUUUCCUGAGGUUGAAUCCGCCGCUGUUUUCCAGUAGCACAGAGCCGAUUGUUGCUGAUGACUGGCUACGCAGGAUUGGAAGGGAGUUGACCACCACAUGUUGCACAGAUGCUGAGAAGGUGCGUUUUGCCGCACAUUAAUUGGAUGGACCCGCAGCCAAUUUCCCAUAGCCAAUGUCACUUGGGAUCAGUUUCAGCAAGCAUUCCGCACAACACAUGUCUCAACUGGAGCUAUGAGCAUGAAGAAGCGUGAGUUUCGCAACUUAUGCCAGGGAAAUCAUACUGUGGGGCAGUACGUGGAUGAGUUCAGUAAGUUAGCUCGUUAUGCCCCGGAUGAUGUGGCCACAGAUGUCGCGAAGCAGGAAAAGUUUAUGGAAGGGCUGAAUGAUGAACUAAGCAUGCAGUUGAUGGUGGCAACAUUUGCUAACUACCAGGAGUUGGUAGACAGGCCACAUAUGAUUGAAGGGAAGCAGCAGCAGAUAGAGAGCUGCAAAAGGAAAUAUGGGCAAGGGAAGUAUAACUCUGGAGCAGCGCAGAAACCUCGUUUUACUCCUAACCCGGGAGGGUUUACCCAUAACCAUGGAGGACACACUCACAAUGGAGGAAGUUCCCAUAACCACAGCGGUCCCAGGAAUGGAAAUGGGAAUGGAGCAACCAGCAACCAGAAUCGUUCCAACCCAGCAACACCCGCUAAGAAGGAUCUGAGUCAUGUCACCUGUUACAAGUGCGAGAAGACUGGGCACUACGCCAACGAUUGUUCUGAGCUGAAGAAUGGCAAUGGGAAUGGAAGCUCUGGGAAGAAGCCCAAUCCCUUCACCAGGGGUCAGGUGAACCACAUCCACGUGGAGGAGGUUGAAGAUCAGCCUGGCGCGGUGAUUGGUAAGUUUUUGGUUAAGUCAUUUACCGCUCGUGUUCUUUUUUAUACUGGUGCAUCACAUUCAUACAUUUCAAGGGGAUUUGUGGACAAGUUUAAGCUACCCACUUUAGCCCUUAGGUCACCCAUGUUAGUAAGCUCGCCAGGAGCAGAGUAUAUGGCCAGCCGAUGGUGUGAUCGGUUACCCUUAACCAUUGGCAGCCAUGUUUUCCCCUCUGACCUAAUAAUUUUGGAGUUACAAGGAUUGGAUAUAAUACUAGGCAUGGAUUGAUUGUCGAAGUAUGGAGGAAACAUUGACUGUGCUAGUAAGUCGAUACUUCUCACCACUCUAGAGGGAAAAAGGAUUAAGUAUGUAUCCAGGAAUGCGCCAAAGAGAACCCAAGUAAAUUCCCUCUCAGGAGUUGUACAGGAGGAAGUGCCUGUAGUGAAGGAUUACCCAGAUGUAUUUCCAGAGGAACUACCAGGCAUGCCGCCCGAUCGAGACAUUGAGUUUUUGAUAGAGCAGUUGCCAGGCACCGGACCGAUAUCAAAGAGACCAUACCGGAUGCUCGCAAAUGAUCUGGAGGAGAUUAAGAAGCAGAUUAAGGAGUUACUGGAGAAAGGUUACAUUCAACGAAGUUUGUCACUGUGGGGAGCCCCAGUGCUCUUGGUUGAGAAGAAGGAUGGAUCUUUGAGAAUGGUUGUUGAUUAUUGUGCGUUGAAUGAAGUGACGAUCAAGAACAAGUACCCACUACCGAUGAUCAACAAUUUGUUUGACCAGAUGCAAAGAGCUAAAGUAUUCUCCAAGAUCGAUCUGCGAUCAGGAUACCACCAGCUGAAGAUCCCAGAACAGGAUAUACCUAAGACAACUUUUACUACAAGGUACGGGCUAUAUGAGUACAUGGUUAUGUCAUUUGGAUUGACUAAUUCCCUCCCUAUUUCAUGAGUACGAUGAAUAAGGUGUUCAUGGAGUUCUUGGAUAAGUUUGUUGUGGUGUUCAUUGAUGAUAUUUUGGUAUACUCGAAGAAAGAAGAGGAGCACAAGGAGCAUUUGCGUUUAGUUCUCAAGAAGCUCAGGGAACAUCAACUUUAUGCCAAGUUCAGCAAAUGUGAGUUUUGGUUAAAAGAGGUUGGAUUCCUUGGACAUGUUAUAUCAGGAGAAGGUAUAGCAGUAGACCCUACCAAGGUUCAGUCAGUCACCGAUUGGCUGGCACCCACCUCAGUAGGAGAGAUCUGCAGUUUUCUUGGACUCGCGGGAUAUUAUCGGAGGUUUAUUGAGAAUUUCUCCGAGAUUGUGAAGCCUAUGACGGAGCUGUUGAAGAAGGACACUAAGUUCAAGUGGACCGAAGAGUGUGAGGCCAGUUUCUAGGAGCUGAAGAAACGUUUGGUUACAGCCCCAGUGCUGACUCUGCCGGAUAUACGCAAGGAUUUCCAAGUGUAUUGCGACGCCUCUCGCUUAGGACUUGGAGGUGUACUUAUGCAAGACGGAAGAGUUGUUUCAUACGCCUCACGUCAGCUUCGACCGCAUGAGUUGAAUUAUGCCAUGCAUGAUUUGGAGUUAGCAGCUGUAGUUCAUGCACUCAAGACCUGGAGACAUUUUCUUAUUGGAAACCGUUGUGAUGUGUACAUGGAUCACAAGAGUUUGAAGUACACUUUUACACGGAAGGAGCUGAAUCUCAGGCAAAGGAGAUGGUUGGAGCUUAUAAAGGAUUAUGAUAUGAAGUUGCACUAUCAUGCAGGCAAGGUCAAUGUCGUAGCAGACGCUUUAAGCCAGAAGAGUUAUGCCAAUACCCUCAUAAGCGGAGGAUUACCAGAGGAGUUGGCCGAAGACCUCAGGGAGCUUCGUUUGGAGAUAGUUCCUAGAGGUUUUGUAGCAGCAAUGGAGGUUCAAUCAACAUUAUUGGGAAAGAUUCAAGAAGCUCAAAAGGAUGAUAAGGAGAUUGCUGAGAUAAAGGAGAAAAUGAGUAAAGGAAAAGCCAAAGGAUUUCGUGAUGAUGAGCACGACACUUUGUGGUUUGAGGACCGUGUCUAUGUACCUAAUAAUGCAGAGAUCAGGAAGUUAAUACUUCAGGAGGCCCAUGACUCGCCAUACUCGAUACACCCCAGAAACACCAAGAUGUAUUUGGAUUUGAAGGAGCGUUUCUGGUGGACUGGUAUGAAGAAGGAUAUUGCCGAGUAUGUAGCCGUAUGUGAUGUAUGUCAGAGAGUGAAGGUAGAACAUCAGAAGCCAGCAGCACUACUGCAACCUAUGCCGAUACCCGAAUGGAAGUGGGACAAGCUUGGCAUGGAUUUUGUCACCGGAUUACGUAGGACCCGACUGGGAUAUGAUUCUAUCUGGGUGUAGUGGAUCGUUUGACCAAAGUGGCUCACUUUAUCCCAGUGAAAACCACCUAUACGAGUGCGAAGUUGGCCAAGAUAUAUAUGACCAGGAUCGUAUGUCUGCAUGGAGUUCCGAGGACCAUGGGGACUCAGUUUACUUCAAAGUUUUGGCAUCAGCUGCACCAGACUUUGGGUACCAGGCUAGAGUUCAGUACAACCUUUCAUCCGCAGACAGAUGGACAUACCGAGAGAGUCAAUCAGAUUCUGGAGGACAUGUUGAGAGCUUGUGCGCUAGAUUAAUGAUAAUUUGCCAUACGCUGAGUUCUCAUACAACAACAGUUAUCAAGCUAGUCUGAAGAUGGCACCUUUCGAAGCUUUGUAUGGAAGGAGGUGCAGGACACCAUUAAUGUGGGAUGAAGUUGGAGACCGUAAGUUGUUUGGACCAGAUUUGAUCAAGGAGUCUGAAGAGAAGGUUAAGUUGAUUCGAGAUAGACUGAAGGUAGCUCAGUCCAGGCAGAAGAGUUAUGCAAAUUCAAAGCGCAAGGAGGUAGUCUAUGAAAUCAGAGACAGAGCAUAUCUUCGUGUGUCGCCUCUGCGACGAGUUAAGCGUUUUGGAGUUAAGGGAAAGUUAGCCCCGAGAUUUGUAGGACCAUACCGAGUUUUGGAACGUAUGGGAGAAGUGGCCUACAAGUUGGAGUUACCCGAAGGACUGUCAGGAGUACAUGAUGUGUUUCAUGUUUCCCAGUUGAAGAAGUGUCAUGCUGAGAUUGCUGAUAUUCCUCUGAGAGAUAGAGUGCCCCUGGAAGCAAUUCAGUUGGAAAGUGAUCUGACCUAUGAGGAGAAACCUGUUAAGAUUCUCGAGUUUGCUAGCCGAGUCACACGCAGCAAGGUUAUCAAGUUUUGCAAAGUUCAGUGGAGCCACCAUACCGAGGAUGAAGCCACCUGGGAGCGAGAGGAAGACCUACGGAAAGAUCACCCACACCUAUUUUCUAGCCAACCCGAAUCUCGAGGGCGAGAUUCAUCUUAAGGGGGGUAGGUUUGUAACAUCCUAAUUUUCAAUUCGGAUGUUAUAAUAGGUCAUUAUAUGCAUAUCAUAUUUUAUUUGCAUUUCGUUUGCGAUCCUUGAAAUCUUAAGCAACUCAAGUACCCACAGAGAGAAUUGGGGAUUUCAUUAUUUUCAUAUUUGAAUUUCUCAAAUUUGAAAAGAGGAUCAAUUUGGUUUAAUAUUUUUCUCUCCGAAAUAUUUCCAAUAUAAAAACAAAUGAGAGGAGGUAAAAUGACUUCUCCAAAAUAAAAGAAAUAUUGGAGGAAAAAUGUUAAAAUCAAAUAAAUAUUUUAUUUUGGAUUUUUAUUCGAGAUUUAAUUGAAUUAGAAAAAUAUGCAUUUUUUUCAAAAUUGCAUUUUAGGCUAGAAAAAUGUUCACUAUGUUCUAAAUAUUUUAUUUAGACGGUGAAAAUUGUUUUUGGCAUUUUUAGAAUUUUUUAUAGUUUAUUAGGAUUUUUCCUUCUCGGCGGAAUAUAUUAAAAAAACACGACGCCCGACUGGGCCAACGGCCCAGCCGAGCGGGCCGAAGCCCAGCGCGCCGCCGCCUCCCGCUCCGGCUCGGGACCGGACUCCCGAGCGCCGCCGCCGCCGUGUCCGCGCGGGACACGCCUCCCGAGGUCGUGUCCCCUCCCCCAAGCAGUUGCCGCCCCCCCCCCUUUAUAACCNNNNNNNNNNNNNNNNNNNNNNNNNNNNNNNNNNNNNNNNNNNNNNNNNNNNNNNNNNNNNNNNNNNNNNNNNNNNNNNNNNNNNNNNNNNNNNNNNNNNNNNNNNNNNNNNNNNNNNNNNNNNNNNNNNNNNNNNNNNNNNNNNNNNNNNNNNNNNNNNNNNNNNNNNNNNNNNNNNNNNNNNNNNNNNNNNNNNNNNNNNNNNNNNNNNNNNNNNNNNNNNNNNNNNNNNNNNNNNNNNNNNNNNNNNNNNNNNNNNNNNNNNNNNNNNNNNNNNNNNNNNNNNNNNNNNNNNNNNNNNNNNNNNNNNNNNNNNNNNNNNNNNNNNNNNNNNNNNNNNNNNNNNNNNNNNNNNNNNNNNNNNNNNNNNNNNNNNNNNNNNNNNNNNNNNNNNNNNNNNNNNNNNNNNNNNNNNNNNNNNNNNNNNNNNNNNNNNNNNNNNNNNCAAGCCGCAGCCCGCCGCUAGCUCCGCGCCGCCGCCGUUGCCGUCGCCGCUGCAGCUAGCCACCGCUGCCGCAUGAAGCCCCGCCUCGCCGGAUCACGCCGCCGCCCGCCAGAUCUCGCCACCAGUAUUUUCCGGUUAAACGGUAUAAAACCGUUCGGUUUUUUCGGUAAACCCUCGAUCGGAUUUUUUUUCUAGAUCGGGUUUUCUCGGUUUUCUUCGUUUAGUUUAUUAUACGAAAGUUCGUUCGUUUAGUUCUUACAAGUAGCGAAUUCGCUCGUUUGCCUCUGUUAGCAGACGUUCGUGCCGUAGUCUUUUUCCUUUAAUUUUAUUUUCGGCCAGGGACCUAUCCACGAUUAUUUUUAUCGCAGAUUAGCCCCUGAUCUUCAUACCCUCGCAACUUUUUAACCGUUUGUCCAAAUCUAGUGAAACCAACGCCAAAAUCUACGUCUCGAACCCCUCUUUCCAGUUAAUCAACUUGAACAUGGUUUUGACAAUUGAAAAUUUGUUUUCAAGUAGAUUUGAUUUUGAACUUCUUUUGACCGUAGUUUGAGUUUCGUAGCUCCGAUUUGAUUGAUUCUUUUUGCAAAUCAAAGCUCUUCAGUUGAACUUUUAGUUUGGAUCUCAUGAUUUGAGUUUUACCCUUGCAUCUAUGAUUGAGUGCUUAUGUAUGAUAUUGUUUGUUUGUAAUAGAAUUUCUGGAGUGCGAAGCGUGCUACUAUGAGUCACUAGGGCUUGCAGAUCGUCAGCAAGGCAAGUAGCACAUUGAUCAUACUUCUUUAUUGCCUAGUUUUCUAUGCAUUAGUUUCAACCCUCAAACAUUGCAUGAGUAGGAUCUCUUAACAUGUGGGUAUUGGGAAGUAGUUGAUGAGGUAGAACCUAUUGUCUUUAUAUCAAACCCUUGGGAGUUACUUCUACGUUAUGCUUAUACCGCUAUGCUAUGCUAGUAGACAUGGUUUGGGUUUGAGUGUAUCCAUGAUAGAUGUGAUAUUGUUAAUUAAUGGUUAACUUAAGGUGGCUACUUAAAUACACAUCUGGGUGGAUUGUUUGUGGGCACCUGGGAAUCCAGUGUUGUACAAGGAGAUCCCGGGGCAUCCGUGUGAUCAUCCUAUGGUUCGCCACCCAGGCUCAAAGGGAUCAUAUAAUAUUAUUCAAGCUAGAAAACUUCCGUGUGCAGCCACAAGCCAUUAUGGGCUCUGGCAUAGUUGAGUAUGUUGUGUGACCUCUUUCAGUGGUAAACUAGCAGAUGUAGGGGAUGUAGGUGGUACGGUUUACCCGUCGAAAGAGUUAAUGCUUCUGAAAGACUGUGUCUCGGUCAUCCCUUUCUCAAACACCAUGAAGUGCAAGAAAUCCACGGUUCGCAAACCUCUGCAGAGUGUACAAACUAAUCAUUGUUAGCCGUGUCCCCGGUUAUGGACAUCUUGAGUAUCUGGUUCUUGAAUUAUCAUGUUGAUCUCAUCACUCUAAAUUAAUUUGUUGGGUAGAAAUACUGUUUAAUUGGGAUUGAGAUGGGGUUACCAUUCUCAAUGUUUAUCAACUACCAUAAUAGUUAAACAAAAUAUAUUCCUUUAUUGUAGGGAAAAAUUGGCUUUUCUCAAAAACUUGUUAACCGUAGAGCCUCCACCAGCCAUAAAUGCAUGUAGCGAUAGCUUUUACCUGUUCAUUGCUCUACUGUGUUAUUUUGCCAGCAUAUUCCAUGUGCUGGCCCAUUUCGCGCUACAAUGUAUUAUGCUGCAGACUUUUCAGAUGAAGUGUAAGGUGCGCUAGGUCGUUGUCGUGCACUCAGCUAUGCCGUUGGAGUUGAUGGACUCAUUUACCUUCCGAUGCUUCCGCGGUUAUCUUAUUUAGAUGGCCUUAAGCCAUAUUAUUGUAAUAAGUUCUCUUUUGAGACAUUCGACGUAAUAAGUGUGUGAUUGCACUCUGUUAUAAAUCCUUCAAGUACUGUGUGUGUCAGCAUUACCGAUCCAGGGAUCACACUUAUGCAUAGAGAUUUGACCGUCUGAGGUCGGAUCGCUACAUUGGAUCUCCCUCUUUGUUCUCUUCAGUUCGCGUUCCCCAGAUCUGGCUGAAAACCGUUUCUUUAUAUUCCCGGAGAUCCAUAACUCCGAUUGCGCAGAGAUUUUAACACAAUUUUAUUCCGGAUAUAAGCUUCCUUGCACCCGAAGUACAGCUCCAACUAACGUACGAGGUGGGUACAACCCACCACCGCGCGCCAGGCUCCUGGCCCGUGUGCUGGUGUAUCAUGCCCUAUCUGGGGCUCCGUUUGCGGUGAUUCCAACUCCCAAAAAUCACAUAUAUUCCAAAAUAAUUCUCCGUAAAUUCUCAUCGCCUUUAGAUUUCAUUUGAUAUGGAUAAUCUGCGAUACAAAAAACAUGCAGAAAAUAGGAACUGUCACUGGGCACUGGAUCAAUAGGUUAGUCUAAUAAAUCAUAUAAAAAGUUGCCAAAAGUAUGUGAAAAUGGUAUAAUAUUGGCAUGAAACAAUCAAAAAUUAUAGAUACGACGUAGACGUAUCAGCAUCCCCAAGCUUAAUUCCUGCUCGUCCUCGAGCAGGUAAAUGAUAAAAAAGAUAUUUUUGAUGUGGAAUGCUACCUAGCAUAAACUUGAUCAUAUAUCUAAUCAUGGCAUGAAUAUGAAGACAUAAGUGAUUCAAAGCAUUAGUCUAUAAUUUGACAUAAAGACAUCAAUACUCAGGAUCCCAACAAACAAUCAUGUCUUUCAAAAUAUCAACGCUAAAGAAAGCUAUCCCUACAAAAUCAUAUAGCCUUGUCAGGCUCUGUCUUCUUAACACAAAGUAUUUAUCAUGCACAACCCCGAUGACAAGCCGAGCAAUUGGUUCAUACUUUUUAACGUGCUUCACCUUUUUCAACCCUCACGCAAUACAUGAGCGCAAGACAUGGAUAUAGCACUACGGGUGGAAUAGAGUAUGAUGAUAGGGGUAAAUAUAAAGAAGACAAAGAAGUAAGAAAGUCUCACAUCGACGCGGCUACCAACGGGCUAUGGAGAUGCCCAUCAAUUGAUAUCAACGUGAGGAGUAGGGAUUGCCAUGCAACGAAUGCACUAAGAGCUAUAAGUGUAUGAGAGCUCAAUAUGAAACUAAGUGGGUGUGCAUCUAAUCCUAUAAUGAAAAAUUCCCACUAGUAUAUGAAAGUGGCAACAUAGGAGACUCUCCAUAUGAAAAACAUGGUGCUACUUUGAAGCACAAGUGUGGUAAGGAUACUAACAAUGCCCCUUCUCUCUUUGUUUAUUUAUUUAUUUUCUUUUUUUCUUUUUCCUUUUUCCUUUUUUUCUUUCUUUUUUUAUUUUUUUAUUUUUUCCUUUUUAUAUUUUUUCUCUCAUUGUCCGGAGUCUCAUCCCGACUUGUGGGGGAAUCAUAGUCUCCAUCAUCCUUUCCUCACUGGGGCACUGCUUUAAAAAUGAAUAAUGACGAUCAUCACACUUCUAUUUACUUAUAACUCAAAAGAAAUAAAAAUUACAACUCGAUGCCUAUGACAAAGUAUGACUCUAUAUGAAUGCCUCUGGCAAUGAUCUAGCGUAACAUAUAUGAAAAAUGAUGAACGGUGGCUGAGCCACAACUACUAUGUUAUAUAUAUGAUCAUGCAAAGCAAUAUGACAAUGAAUGCUCAAGUCAUCAAACGGAAGCGGUGCAAGUUUCAUGGCAAUAUAUCUCGGAAUAGCCAUGGAAAAGCCAUAAUAGGUAGGUAUGGUGGCUGUUUUGAGGAAGAUAUAAUAAGCUUAUGUGUGAUAGAGCGUAUCAUAUCACGGGGUUUGGAUGCACCUGCGAAGUUUGCACCACGUCUCGAGGUGAGAAAGGGCAAUGCACAGUACCGUAGAGGCUAGCAAAUUGCGGAAAAUGUAAGAGUGCGUAUAAUCCAUCGACUCACAUUAGUCAUAAAGACCUCAUAUACUUAUUGCAAAAGUUUAUUAACCCUCGAAGCAAAGUACUACUAUGCAUGCCCCUAGGGGGAUAGAUUGGUAGGAAAAGACCAUCGCUCGUCCCCGACCGCCACUCAUAAGGAGGACAAUCAAUAAUAAAUCAUGCUCCAACAUCAUAGCAUAACGGGAGACUAUACGUGCAUGCUUCGGGAAUCACAAACCUUAACACCAAUAUUCUUACUAACCUCAACCAUUUACUAGUACCACCCACAUAUUAUCAUCUCUAUAUUGCAAAACUAUUGCAAGGAAUCAAAUAUAUCAUAUUCAGUGAUCAAUAAGUUUUAUGUAGGAUUUUAUGACUAACCAUGCAAUUGAGCAAUUCCUGUUGACUCUCUAAAUAGAUAUAAGUGAAGCAAGAGAGUUUAAUUCUUUCUACAAAAGACCAUGCUCUAACAAAUAUAAAUGAAGCAAAAGAGCAUUCUUCAAACAACGGUUUUCUAUGUGAAGAGAAACAGGCAAUCCAAACUUCAAAUGAUAUAAGUGAAGCACAUGGAGCAUUCUAUAAAGCCAUACUCAAAAGAUAUAAGUGAAGUGCAAUGAGAAUUCUAUAAAUAAAACAUGGACUAUCUCAUACCAGCAUGGUGCAUAAAAGAAAAAUUAAAACUAAAAGCAAAAGACGCUCCAAGAUUUGCACAUAUCACAUGAACGAAACGAAACCGAAAACAUAUCGAUACUUGUUGAAGAAAGAUGGGAUGCCUUCCGGGGCAUCCCCAAGCUUAGACGCUUGAGUCUCCUUGAAUAUUUACUUGGGGUUACUUGGGCAUCCCCAAGCUUGAUCUCUUGCCUCUCCUCCUUCUCCUCAUAUCGAGACCUCCUCGAUCUUUGAUCACUUCAUCCACACAAAACUUAACAGAAAGUUCGGUAAGAUCCAUUAGUAUAAUAAAGCAAAUCACUACUCUAAAUACUGUUGCAAACCAAUUAAUAUUUUGUUUUUGCAUUAUAGCUACUGUAAUAUAACUUUUCCAUGGCUUAUACCACUUAUAAAAAUCGAUAGUUUCAUCAAAACAAGCAAACAAUGCAUCAAAAACAGAAUCUGUCUUAAACUGGACAGUCUUUAGUAAUCUGAACAUUCACCAUAGCUCUGGGACUCCAAGAAUUCUGAAAAAAUUAGAAAAAAUAAAAAAUUUGUAUAUAAAUACAGUGCAAAAAAUUUCAGAACCGGUUGACAUUCCAGUAAAAAAUGUAAAAUCGCGCACUACAGCCAAAGUUUCUGUUUUGCACCGCACAAACCAAUAGGCAAUGUAAACAUCCUAAAGGCAAAUCUUGGCACAUUAUUUUUAUAAUACAAUGGAAUUAUACAAGGGGAUAAUUUUUUUUUUGAAAAGUUUCUGUAAUUAAGAUACACAAAGUUUCCGUGAGCAUGAACAAAGUUCAAGGACGUCCCCCACUUUCACAAUGCUCGUCUAUCUCACUUUCACUUUUCUUUUUGUGAAGUUUUAAGUUCCCCUGUAUAUUUUUUUGUUUUUAAACUUUAUAAAAGCACUCAACAGAAUUAAAUGACUCUCUAAAACUUCCGGGUUGUCUUCCUGGCAACGCUUUCUUUAAAGCCAUUAAGCUAGGUAUAAAGUGCUCAAGUAAUGAAUCCACCCGGAUCCCAAGGUAUAUCAAAGUCAAUUUGAAUUAACAAUGAUUAGGCAUUUAGUAGUGAGCACAAAGCAACAUAUAUCAAGCAAUGAAGAAUUCUAACUCUCUUCCUAUGCAUCGGCAUGUCAUACAAGAACAAUUCAUGCACAUCAAGUAAAGGCCAAUACAUAGUAUAAGAAGUUUCUUGCAAUUUUAUCGUGUUGGAAACAUAGAGAGGCGGAGAUGUAGUUCCUCUCUCAUAAUAAUUGCAAGUAGGAGCGGCAAGCACAUGCAUAUUAUAUUCAUCAAAAUCAUCAUGUGCAACGGUAAAAGGCAAACCAUCAAUAUAAUCCUUAACAAGAGCAAACUUCUCCGAUAUAGUGUAGUUGGGAGAAUUCAAAAAGAUAAUAGGACUAUCAUGUGUGGGUGCAAUAGCAACAAUUUCGUUCUUAACAUAAGGAACUAUAGCAAGUUCAUAUCCAUAAACAUAAUUCAUCUUGGCAUCUUGGCCACAAGCAUAGUAAGCAUCAAGUUCAUCAAAAAGGGAUAUUUCAAAAGAAUCAAUGGGAUCAUAGUAAUUAUCAUAGCAUUCAUCCUCUGGUAAGAACGAAGGAACAUUAAACAAUGUAUGAGUUGGAGGGUUACUCUCAUUAGAAGGCGGGCAUGGGUGAUCAAUCCGGUCUUCCUUCGCUUGUUCUUCGCUCUCCUCAUCAUCUUAUUCAUCCAAUGAGCUCACAGUUUCAUCAAUUCCUUCUUCCAUAGACUCCUGCAAAAUAUUAGUCUCUUCUUGCACAAAGGAGACUUUCUCAAUAAAUGCAUCAAUAUCGGAAUUGUAUUUAUAAUUAUCAUAGCAAUAUUUAAGGUUAGCCAAAUUUUCAGGUCUAUAAACUGAAUCAUCAAAAUCUUCAAACUUUCAAACAAAGAUUCAAUUUCAUAAGCACCCUUAAAAGCAGCAAAUUCUUCUAUUCGUUCCACAUCAUAGUAAUCAUAUACACCUCUAGAAUAAGAAGCCAAGGUUUCAUCAUCAUUAAAUUCACAUGAAAAGGUAAGAUGUGGAGCAUUCAUCCUAGAGCAAUAAGUAUAAUCAUAUCAAAUCCCAAGCAUACCAUUGCAACAUUUCAAUUUGAUCCCACAAAAGUUUCCCUUUUUGUUUCAAGCGAUAAUCCCUAGAGUAUUCAUGUUGAUCCAAUGUUACUCCCAUUAUAUAGUUGAAUGGGGUUCUCAGGAUUAUCAAAGUAGUGCAUAAUAUUUUUCACAUAACGAGCAUCGAGAGUUUUGGGAGGCUCCCCAUCUCCAUGAGUAGCAAGUAGCACUAAUUUUUUUGGUGUUUCGUGUUCCAUAUCCAUAACUAAAGAUAGAGAACAACUUAGAACGAGAAAUAAAAACUACUUAGUGAUAAAGCAAGCAAGCACACACACGAAUAUUCACCCCACACUAUUGCUCCCGACAACGGCGCCAGAAAAAGGUCUUGAUAACCCACAAGUAUAGGGGAUCGUUUGUAGCCUUCUUCGAUAAAUAAGAGUGUUGAACCCAAGGAGGAGCUAAAGGCAGAACAAAUAUUCCCUCAAGUUCUAUCGACCACCGAUACAACUCUAUGCACACUUGACGUUUGCUUUACCGGAAACAAGUAUGAAACUAUUUUGCAAGGAUAAAACUACGAGUACUUUGCGACAAUAAAACUACGAAUAAAUUGCAAGGUAAUAAAAGUGGAUAGCUUUUGUCAACAAGAAAGUUAUUUGUCCCUAGGCAAUCGAUAACAAGUACCAGUAAUCAUUCUUGUAAUUUCAUAUGAGGGAGAGGCAUGAGCUAACAUAAUUUCUCUACUUGGAUCAUAUGCACUUAUGAUUGGAACUCUAGCAAGCAUCCGCAACUACUAAAGAUCAUUAAGGUUGUGAAACCCAACCACAACAUUAAGUAUCAAGUCCUCUUUACUCCCAUAUGCCAUAACCCACCUAUCCGCGUUUAAGUUUAUGUCACUCUCGCAACACUGACAAUAAGCAAAUCAUGAACAUAUUGCAACACCCUAUAACGGGGGGCCCUCACGUUUGCGCGAGACAGAGGGCACCGUAGGACAGCACCAUAAAUAAAAUAUACAAUCAUACCAACCAAGAUCGUGAUUAACCCACAAGACAAAACGGAUCUACUCAAACAUCAUAGGAUAACCAUAGAUCAUUGGGAAAUAAUAUAUGGAUUUGAGCACCAUGUUUAAGUAGAGAUUACAGCGGGGGAAGAGUUGUUACACCGCUGCAUAGAGGGGGAGAAAGUUGGUUUUGAUGGUAGCAAGAUUGUUGAUGUAGAUUGCUGUCACAAUCCUAGCCCCGGUGGCACUUCGGCGCCACCGGGAGAGAGGGGGGAGCCCCCCUCCUUCUUCUUCUUACUUGGCCUCCCCCUAGAUGGGAGGAGGGUUCCCCCUCUGGUCCAUGGUCUCCAUGGCGGCGGAGGGGCGGGAGCCCCUCCGAGAUUGGAUCUCCCUCUCUGUCCUCUUCUGUUUCGCGUUCCCCAGAUCUGGCCGAAAACCAUUUCUUAUAUUCCCGAAGAUCCGUAACUCCGAUUGCGCUGAGAUUUUAACACGAUUUUUUUCGGAUAUAAGCUUCCUUGCACCCGAAGUACAACUCCAACCGACAUACAAGGUGGGUACAACCCACCACCGCGCGCCAGGCUCCUGGCCCGUGCGCUGGUGUAUCGUGCCCUGUGUGGGCCUCCAUUUGCGGUGAUUCCAACUCCCAAAAUUCACAUAUAUUCCAAAAUAAUUCUCCGUAAAUUGUCAUCGCGUUUGGACUUCGUUUGAUAUGGAUACUCUACGAUACAAAAAACAUGCAGAAAACAAGAACUGGCACUGGGCACUAGAUCAAUAGGUUAGUCCAAUAAAUCAUAUAAAAAGUUGCCGAAAGUAUGUGAAAAUGGUAUAAUAUUGGCAUGAAACAAUCAAAAAUUAUUGAUACGAUGGAGACGUAUCACCUUGCUCACGCAAAUAUUAAAUGCUUAGAGCCAAGCUAAUAGCCAUUCUAAGAGCCAACCUAUUAUAUGAGUAUUUUUUAUGAUGACUCUAAGUGAGGUGGCAUCUCCUUAUAGCCAACAGCCGGCUACAUUGGAGCACUCUGGCAAGGCCCAGAGGUUAAUUUGAGAACAAGUACCUCGAGGUUAAUUUGACAAACAUGACAUAUAAGUUGACAGAGGUCAUAUGACCAUUUUUGGAAACAUGUCGUAAAGUAACGCGAUAGACCUUCUUUCAAGUCAAUUAGCAUGUGUUCAAAAAAUAAAAAUUAUUAAAAAGUAACACAAUAGACCUUCGAUUAACAUGUGUUAAAAAAACAAAAAAUGUCAAAAAAUACAAAACAAAGACCUCAAUAUUAACUAGAUGGAUGGAUCACUCUAAAGGUUUAUUAUUAUAAACCUUUACAGUGACCCAUACUAUCUAGUUAAUAUCAAGUUCACUUCCCAUCCGGUCACCCAUCUCAUGGCCACUCCAGCCUCAGCACAGUUAACUUGGGAGUUCUGUUAGAUGAGCUAUCAGUAGGGAAGUUGGUCCUUGCUGAUAUAGGAUGCCUCUUCGUAUCAUUUAUGGCAUACCUAGAUGACCGCUUGGUGCCGCCCAAUAGCCAAUGCCACGUCCCCUGCGAAUGUAGAAGCUUCCCUCCCUCGUCUAGUUGGUUCAUGCAUUUUCCCCUGCUUUUUGCCACCUGCCCACCUAUAGAACCGCCUCGCGCUGGCAAAUUCCUCUCCAAGCACCUAGGGAGGCGGUUGAACCGAACAAGUAUAACUUGUUUCUAGUGGGUACAUUGACGUGGCAUCGAAAGGGUGUGAUAGCUGACUCUUGCAAAAUAAUUAACUACCACGUUGGCAUACAUGAGCAUGGGGCCCACUUGUCAGCAUUCUGGACAGAGGAAGGAAUGCAAGACAAAAUGGAGCGCGGAAGGGUGCGAAUCGAUUGGCUCACGUGUGAUGACCACUGGAGCAAUCCACGCAGGUACUACAUUAAAAAAUUCAUGCAAACAUGGACGGUUAUACUGUGAGUAGGUGACCGUGCGCUUGGCUCUUCGCCUCUUUCAAAAGUCGAACAAUGAUGAUGGUACUACAGUAUAGAUAAUUCUGGCAAUCUGACACCGAAUGAACUGUUGCAUGUCCACCGCCUGUAUUAAGCGCACUAUCGUAAUGCAAAAGCUUCUCCUCGUCCUGCGAGCCACCGCGCGCACGUGAGCGACGGAAGGAGUCGUACUAGUAGUAGUAAGCAAAGCUUCUCCUCGUUUGCGAGUAGACCGGACACAUCAAAAGUAGUGCAUUAGUCUCCAAAAAGGGUUUACCAUGUCCAUGGCUACCUUCCUGUGCUCCAUCAUUCAAUGUGUGCUUCUCGUUGUUCUGCGAGUUGACGGCACACACCAAAAAGGGCUGACCAUGUCCAUGGCUACCAUAUCAUGCUCCGUCAUUGAGUACAUGCACUAUUCACAUGCCAUCGAGGAGGAAAAAUAUUGCAUAGUACUAGGUGCCAUCGUAGUGCACGACUCACUUACGCACUGCUUAUCUCCAUUUUCUUGCAUGACACGUGCACCUUGAUGCUAGAUGUCCCGCGUGUUGGCAAAAGGAUGAACAAAGCUCAUGUAAAAAAAGAGUGGAAGAACAUAGAUUCUCGAUGACCGAGAAGGAGCAAGGAACCUCGUGGUGGAGCGUCUGCACUCAUAAUAUUUUAUAUUAUUCAGCGAUAUAAAAUCAACCAAUCAUCUCCACGGUAGACCGCAAGGGUACGAAACACGACAGCCCAGUGUAGUUACAUCAUACUGUACAUGGCCAACCCACGCUAUCACCAUAUUUCUUGGCCUCUGUGCGGCACCUAGCUCUAGUAAUCCACUAGCCCUUGUCGCUUCUCGCUCCUUGUCUCUCUCAAAGUGUGGCGGGUUGGCGUUUUUGCCGUCUAUUGAGGUCGGUUAACUCAUGACAUGUCAGCGACAUGCCAAGAGCAUUCUAAAAAAAUAUUGUACUCUAUUGUUAUGCCAAGAAGAGGAAGCGCUUUGACCGACGGACCAAACGAGACAAGCGUGUUGUGCCGUGAGUGGGUCUAGUUUCUCAUUUUGAACUUGUUUGGUGUAGUAGUAACACUUGGUUUUGACUAUUGACAAGAUUUUAUAUAGGGGCUAAUGUAUUCUUCGAGGUUGCCUUUGACUAUUGGUAAGAUUUUAUAUAAUUUGAAAAUUAUAUCAUUCAAAGAUCCUUUCAUGUUCCAGUUUAAAAAAAGAUCCUUUCAUGUACGAAUUUGACGGUAUGCUUUGAGCAACUUGCAUGUCCUAUACUGCUCCUGUUUGGAUACUUUAACUUAGCUAGAUGUUAGACUAACUCAUGACUAACCCUGAACUAACUAUAGCCAAAGAGGUGUUUGGACGACAGGGUUAGAUUGACAAUAAAUGCACUUGAUGGAGAGAGAAAAGUGAUUUUUCAGUGGGCCCAAUGAGAACUAUCUCCAAUUAGCACCUCUUGGGUGAGAUAGUUUUUUUGGUGGGAUCUAUGCAACUUGCUCCAAUUUAACCCUCAUGUUUGGAUACUUUAGGGCUAUUUGAGCCCCAAAUAGCUCAGACUAACUCUAACCCAUGGAUCCAAACAGGGCCAAAGUUAGUCUCGGAAAACGCAUUAAUCCAUAUAUAGAUGGACAGACGGAGAACAUGAUACUAGCAAACGCUCACCAUUAGUAGUAGUUCAUUGGUUGGUUUCGAUUUUUGAUUCAGUUGCUGUGCUGCUACCGUCCAAUAUUCGCGUGUGGUUGUUUCUAGAAUAAAAAAAGAGGUACUCCCUCCGUCUAGGUGUGUAAGUCACCUAAGGUGGAGCAGCGCGACCUAGGUGGCUGCAGAUUGGAAGAGGCCAAAGAAUCAGACCGAAAAUUCUUCCAAUCACCGCACCACUUUUUUCCUCCUAAACCAAACGAAGAUUAGCAAUGAAUCCCUAAUUAAUAGGGCUGCCGUUUUAGCCAACCCAUGCAGGCCCAUUGACGUGCAUGCAAACUGGGGUCAAUCCCUCCCCUAAUCAACGUGUUCCUUCUCAGCAUGCAUAGGUCGCUCAUUCUCUCCCGCAUUAACUUCCUCCCCCGCGUGGUUCAGCCAAAAAUUUGCUCGCCGAUGAACGAGGUAGUGAGGGGAACAAGGACGGAAUUUAACGCAUUGUGCCUAAGUGUUUUGGGAAUAUCUGAUUUUUGUAAGGUGACUUACACACCCAGACGGAGGGAGUAGUACUUACUCUGGGAAAGGUGAAGUGAUGGUUGCUUCGCCCGAGCAACUUAUUACUCUGGGAAUAUGGGAGUACCAGUGGAUUCAACGAACAGAGAAAUGAUGGUUGCUUCAUUCGAGCAACUUACUGUGGCAAAGGUGGGGCUCUGUGAUUUGACUGCUCACUAGUCAUUACUACUACGGCACAAUGACCGGGGUGAAUCUUUCCCUGCAGUUGUGCACUCAAUAUUGUUGCAUGGCAGGUGGAGCCGGAUGAAGGAUGUCCCACAUGUCGGUGAAACGAAGUUGAAUUGUUUUUGGCAUUGCUAUCAAUCCUUUAGGAUUUGUUUAUAUGUACCCAUCAUUUUAAUGAAGUUGUACUGUGAUGCUAUGAAGGUUUCAACUUUGGUUCCCGCAGGAAAAAAGUUUCAACUUAGGAUUCAUGUGUCCUCUUGCCUCAAGAUUAUCUCGUUACAACAUUCCAUCAAAUACAAAUGAAACUACCAUGGCUGCUAAUGCAUCUCAAUGGUUCGCAGAUCAGCGCCAAUAUUCACAUCACAACAGAAGACAAAGUUGUGAGAAGGUGUACAGAUAAAGAAAAAUAUAUAAUUGAUCGAUGUUGUUCGUAGGCAUGGCUCCAUUUCCUGGGCAUAGUGUUCAUUGGUUGGCAGCUAGUUUCACCCAGCUCUGUAGCCGACAAAGAGGUGUAUGGAGGACAUCACAAUCCGAUCAUUUUGUGCAGCUCCACUAAAAUCGAGUUGACCAUCCCUGUUUGCAAAGAUAUCCAGUCAGUGUGAUUACAAUAAUAGUGGAACUAGAUGAUGAAACAUAACACACACAAAUAGAAGCCGAUCACCUCUGCGAUCUCUAUUUAGGACUAACUACCUGGUGGAGAAGAUUAGGCACGGAGUUGGAUGAGGAGGAUAGCAAAACCAAUCUCCCUUUCUACAGUCCCACAGAAAUGUAAAAACGUUGCAUGUGUGACAUUUUGGCAGAACUGCACAAAAUACUAUUAGGAAAAAAGUGAUUUGUGCAGUUCACCAAAAGGUCGCAAUAGCAAUGAGGUGAAAUGGAUAGCCCUAUUUGCAAAAGGAGGUAGAAAGGAAACAAUUACUGCCCAAUAACACGAGUUGAAGACACAUACGCCGACAAAAAAGAAGCAUAUUCCAUGUAAUAAGGGAAAGAUAGCAGCAUAGUGGUUUAUCAAAAAUGUUUUGAGGACGAGAUUGCAAGAUGAAAAGUACGUCGGCCGAGAUACGUUUUAAGCAAAUAACUAAAGAAGAUCCACAUGCCGGAUUUUCCACAUGCAACAACGUGGGAAGAUGGGGAGUGGAGCAAGGCCGGAGGAAGCUGUACCUGAGGGUCGUCGGGAUGUUACUAGGAGGGCGCCGGCAGCCGGGAUCUGCCCAUACCGCGGCAGCGAGCAAGUGGCGAAGGCCCUACCGUGUCAGAGCUUGGUCAGAUAGAACGGCGGGUACCGCAGCUCAGGACGUGCUGCCUCAACGCCGUCGAGCGGAGAAAUGAUGCACAUCCUCCCUUUCCGCCGGCGGAUGGGAUGCGGCGAGAUCACUGACCAACGGUGAGAGAGAGAGGCCACCGCUGCCUUGUGUGAGAUGGUGUGACGAGAGACAAACCCCGGCAGGCAGGCUCCGUUGUAUAUAGUGGAGCGGAUUUUCCCAUUUUCCCCACGACAAUCAUUUUAUAUUCUGUACGUGCCAUUGAGGAAUAUAACUUUAUUUAAUACUGACGCGUCAAGUCGACUUUGUUCCGUCUAUGCGUGGUACAUGACCCUCCUUGGAGUAAACAACCGCUACACGCGUAAAAUUAUCAUGUGGGUUGCCUUUUCAUAUAGAAACGAACUCCACCGUGUACCCGCGCGGGUGUGGCCGGGAACGAGACGUGAGUACGUGCGUCCUACGUGCACCUCUUCUUUAGGUGCAUGUACGUACGCGGGUUGGUGUGAGAGAGAUGGUUUGUGCAAGCCAAAGGCAAUGUGUCAAUGAUAUCUCAAACAAAAAAAGUAACAUAUGCAAUGUGUGUGAAACAGAGUCAUGGAUAUAUCAUAUAUAAAGGGAGCGAUCCACGAGAAGAGAGUGGAGGGAUCAUCGGCGUGAGAUAUUGAUAGAAUCGAAAAUAGGGAUGAACUGUCUGGCUGCGCGAUCGAUAAAGAGUGCCAUCGAAUUUGUGUUUGCCCACGUCAAAGAUACAGGGCGGCUGGCCUACUGGAAUUUGAGAGGGCAGAGGUGCAGUUUUUCUCUAUGGCAUCGAUACCUACCUACAACGUUCGACUAUCGGUGUGUGUGGGGGGGAGCGAGGAGGGGCAGAGACCUAACUAUAGAGAGGUAGAUCGACUAGUAUAUGUGUGGAGAAGGAGAGAGACCUAGCUAUGUAUUGAGGGAGAUCGAUCGGCAUCCAUGCAUAUGUGUAGCAUAGGAAUAAGGUUGGGAGAAAGACAAAGGUAGAGUGUCGGAGGGUUGGUGGUGGAGUGGCUUCUCACAAAUGGUGGGAGAGGCCUGGUAGACAAACGGAGGGUACGAGUGCAAUACCAAUAAGAGAGGGCCGGGGAUGUCUGUCUGUCUAUGCACGUGCGUGUGAGAGACCGGUCGGGAGGUAUGCAAGGAUGAUGUGGGGGGGCGAUAUGGUUGUGGUAAGCAUACGUAACUACAUAGUAAGAUCAACCAUCGUGUGUCCGAGAAAGGGAGAGACAUAACUAGUCUAUCGGUGCGUGGGGAAAAAGAAUUAUAGUCGACCUAGCUAUAUGUAGGGAGAUCGGUACGUAUACAUGCACGCAUGUGUUAGAAGCAAAUAAGGUCCGGAGAGACGGAUAGGGGGAUAGGGGUGCGGCUAGGAGGUGGUGUGAGAGGCCUACUAUGUCGAGGGGGGAGGAGUGUGCGAGUAUGAGAUCGACGAAAAGAGGGGCGGGAUUGUGCACCCGCGUGGAACCGUAUUGGACAUAGGGGCAUGGACGGUGAGAAGAGAAGAUGGGAAGUGUGUGUUUGUGGUAGUCACACUUGGCUAGAGAGGUAGAUCGACCGGUGUGUGCCGGAAAGAAGGAGCCGGGGGGCCUAGACACACUGCGGAUGAAUGACCUAAAGAGAAAUAUUGAACGUGCGCGAUGGAGGGGACGCUAAGGGAGGGUGAGACGGGGCGGGCGUGUGCAUGCACGAUAGAAAGUUAGCGCUAGCUAGCUACAAAGAGAAGAGGACCGUGAAGGUGUAAAAGAUGAAGAUAUAUCAUAAUUCAUUAUAAAAAAGUGGAUACAGAUACUUGAAGAAGAUAUCAUAAUGUAGAACAUUGAUUAUAAUUUGGGAUAAUGUGUGGCUUUUGCAGCUCAGGGCUAAAUACUUGUCAUAAUGUAGGGGGCGGGGCACUAUACUUUGUGUGAUAAACACGGUGUACGUACGGAACAUGGUUUAGAUUAUGAAUAUCUAGUUAGUACAUCAAAUGUAUUAUUAUUUGGAAUCAACAUCAAGUGUAUUCAAAUAAUUGAGUUCGAGUUCAUAUAGUACACAUAGUUCAUAUCUAUCUCUAUAGUAAUCAUGUGGUGUGUUGUUAAGGUAAUACACGAAUGAUGGUUGAAGUUGGCAACAAUCAUGAUUGUAGAUUCUUAUUCAAAUAGAGAAACGAAUUCAAAUUUAGUUCGAAUUGCAGCGGUAGUAUAGACAUUUGGAAUGCACUAAAAUGUUGGUAUGGGUAGGUUACAUGCAUUAUACAGCCAGCGAAAAAAUUUAAUUGGACAUAACAUGGAUUCAUAGCUUUGAAUAGCAUUUGUAUAGUAAAACGGGACAAGACUCUCUCUUUGUGUGGUGUGAAUAGUUUUAUUUUUUUCGUUUUUUUCAUAGAGGGAAGUGCAAAUUGAUUUGGUACGUACAAGUGCAAUAUUACACGUUAGACUUGUCCCUAAAAUUCAACCCGCUCCUUGUUAUAUCCCAAAAAUUCAGAUAUCGUGCUCCCAAAACUCACGCCUUGCUAUCCCAAAAUUACAACGCGCGGGAAAACUCCCUCCAGCUGCCAAAUCCCGACACGUGAAAUCCCCCUUCUAACCCUGAGUCGAAAGGGCCGCUAGUUCAAAUCGGUGGGGGUACUUUUGUAACACACCCUACAUUUUGGACAAGUGUGUUCCUAAGUCAUGGUUCCCCCCUCCCAUCGCCUCCUUUUCACCAUUUGAAAUCCCAGGCCGCCAUAACCUCUCCGCUCCAGCCGCAAAACCCAACCCUCCUUCGUCCGCCACCUCACCGCUGCCCAGCCGGAGCCCCUUCCCCGACGACAUCGUCCACCGCAACAGCUCGACGUCCCUCAUCCACCUCCCCGGAUGAGGAUCCGUUGUCCAUCUCGUCGUCCCGCCGGUUCAGCCGCCCCGUCCUCCACCUCCAAGGAGCUGCUCCAAUGAUCGCCUCGUCUAUCGGGGCUGCUCCAUCCCCACAGCGCCGCCUUAACCUGCUCCACCGGAACCGCAACAUCCUCACCGAGUCCUCAGACGAAGUCGAGGCCUACUCGGGGCCACCAAAGAGGUUGUACACUCAUCGCAUCACACCUUCUCCUUCACUCGACCUCCCGGCACCGACGGUGCUCCAUACCGCAAACCCAUGGCGUGGCUACCUCGAAGUCGGCGCUGCGGGCGACAUCUCCACGGUGGCUCUCCACCAGUGCAAGGCCCCUUCGGCGGCAGCGGCCAUACCAGCCGGAUCUGCUGCUGCUCCUCCGGCUCUAGCUCGCUGGCUCGCGCAGCUGCUGCUGCUCCGGCUCUCGCUCACUCGCUCGCGCUGCUGCUGCUCUCCCCCUCGCUUGUGCUGUUGCUCUGCUCCGAUUUAGCUACACUUCAGUUGACUGAAUCGACUUUUGGGUCAGUCGAUUUUCAGGGGGUGGGGGGCUCGCCGGAGUUAACGAAGAACCACCCGUAGCGGGGAAGGGGGCUUGCCGGAGAGGUACCCCACUAUCUACCUUAGGGUUCAGGGUAGGGGCGNNNNNNNNNNNNNNNNNNNNNNNNNNNNNNNNNNNNNNNNNNNNNNNNNNNNNNNNNNNNNNNNNNNNNNNNNNNNNNNNNNNNNNNNNNNNNNNNNNNNNNNNNNNNNNNNNNNNNNNNNNNNNNNNNNNNNNNNNNNNNNNNNNNNNNNNNNNNNNNNNNNNNNNNNNNNNNNNNNNNNNNNNNNNNNNNNNNNNNNNNNNNNNNNNNNNNNNNNNNNNNNNNNNNNNNNNNNNNNNNNNNNNNNNNNNNNNNNNNNNNNNNNNNNNNNNNNNNNNNNNNNNNNNNNNNNNNNNNNNNNNNNNNNNNNNNNNGUGGGGAUCGCCGGAGAAAAAGCUCGGCGCGGGGGGGAGGGGCUAGAGGGCUGGCCGGGGCGGCGGCAGACCGGUGGUGUGGAGUUGUUUCGUGGCGGCGAGGAGGCGCGGGAGCGCCGCCGGCCGUGGGCGGUGGGGGCCUGCAGUUCGUCCGGUGGUGGCUAGUGGCUCAUGGGGUGCAGGUUGAAGAUGAACUGCAGGCCCUCCCUAAACUACAUGUGAAGUACCUCUCUGCUACCAUUGCGUUCAAUUUCGACAUUAACAUUCAGAUUCCACAGUAAAUUUCAGCUUCGACAGUUAAGUUCAGAGUCAAUAGUUUUUACCUCAUCUGUUGUAGUCACGUGGUUUUUGGUGAUGUAAAUUUUACAUCUAUCACUUUUUGGUAAUGUAUUUUACAUCAUCUAUUGGAGAUGCUAUUAGAAUCCCACUUGAGAUUAAUGAUGUCUAUCUUGUGCUGCUUCAGCCUCGACGUCUUACGGCUCGCCAGAGCUGCUCCAACGACGGAACGAUCCAUCACAACAGAGCAGUGCCCUGGACGCCGUCUACAGAUUCCUCGGAUCUUCGUCCACACCUCCGAUAGCCACCUCUGCCUCAACUUCUUUAGCGACCAACCCAAUGAUGCUGAGGUCGACACGGCUACGGCAAAGAGGUUGUAUACUUGUCGCAUCACUUAUUACUGUACAUUCAUGUCAAUCCAUUAGGGCUAUUUUGGUUCAACGGAAAAACAUAGCAAUAGGAAAUUUUCCUAUGGCACUCUACUAUUCAAUUAUUCAUGCAUUUUGUUGAAAGGAAUGGAGCAAAACAUACACCUAGACCUACUUUUCAAAAUCCUAUGCAUGAAAAUAAGACCAAGUGCAUUUGUGGAAGAAUAACAUUCUAACUGUACACGCUUUCAUAUGGUUUCACUUUAUUUUGGCCAUGUUUCUUUGCAUUCCUCUGCUCUUCCAAUUCCUCUGAACCAAACACCCAAGUUGACAGAAAUCAUGUGUUUACAAAUGCUAUGUUUCCCAUGUGCAUUCCUAUCCUAUUCUGGUGUUUUUCCUAUCCCUGCGUUUUUAGAAUCAUGCAAGCCAAAUGAGCCCUUACAGAAUUACUUCAGUUACAGGUAGGUGUCGAAGAAAACUUUGUGUGGUUUGUCCUGCUCCUGCCACGACGUCGUCCACCUCACCUGAGCUGAUCCAUCGACAGAAGCAUCAACCAAACCAGACAUCACGACUCCUGACCAUCUUUCGCCGCCUCAGAUCUCCUUCCCUGCCGCCAGCACACACCGCAAAGGAAUCACCAUCAUCGACUCAGCAGAUGAACCUGAGGAAUAGACGGGUCCACAAGAGAGGUCGCACUCUUUUGUUUCUACUUAUGUUAUGCAUUGCUUAAAAUUACCUGCUACUUUAUCGUCUUGUUCACCUCUUAAACUCCAAGUCAGGUCCAAAUUAAUGUUCAAACUUGAGUUCUAAAUUAGUUGCGAGGCACAUAUCGAGGCAGCAAUGAAUAGUAUCUUUGUCUAAUAUCUGGUUCACCUAGGGUAUGCCUAUGUUGUUCAUCUUGGGUGGAAAACAAAUAGUAAAGUAAUCAUCAUCUGUCUUUUUAUUAAAUUAAAGCAAUCAUCAGCCUCCUAUCAUUAUUUUUGGAUCCAUCCACUGGUUGUUACCAUCACUCAAGAUUUCGGCAUGCUCUCCUUACAUAAUCUCACCAUAUUUUUUUCAUAUGCAUGUCAGAUAUUGUACAUAGUCAUGUUGAAGAUGUAGAGAAAAAGAGAAGAGUUUUGCACGACAAUACAAUGUCAUGCAGACAUCGUUCCAUGGUGGGUUCAAUGGCAAACCCUCCCCCCCUCUCCAGAUUGUAAUCCAGAGGAAGAUAUCUGUUCUAAAGCGGAUUCGGACGCAGCUAACCACUCCUAUUUACCCCCAAGGUGUUUUCUCUACCUUGGCAUGAUGAUGUUAGUCAUAUCAUGCAUAUGUUGCCUUGUAGUGCCUACUUUCGACAUCAUAUAUGUCAUCUGCUUAGUUUAGACAUGUUCUGUAAUGCCACCUGCUUAGUUUCUAUAUCAUAUAUGGGAAUUAUGCAAUCUCAUGUCUUUUAGCCAGCCAUAAUAUAUGCGAAAUGUGCAAUGUCAUCCUAUUUAACCAGGCAUCAUAUAUUUGAAUGCUAUCUUGCCCAUCAUUUUCUUCAUUACAUUUCCAUUUGUCGACAAUGUUUGUACAUUGAACUAUUCUUCCUCUGAAUUAGCCAUUUGAGUGGGAGAUGGAAAAAUCUGGAGUGGAAACAAGGCCUUCGGAGCAGACAGUGCUACUCGUCGAAGCAGAUCUCUUGCUGGGUCCUGAUAGCUCCUCAGAGAUGGAUUCAGAGACAGAUGACCAGUGCUAUUCCCCCACCGAGUGUAUGCUCUAACUUGGCACGGUUAUACUUCUCAUAUCAUGCAUAUGGUGUCUUGCAUUGCAUAGUUUAGACAUCAUAUACACAAUAUUCAACACCAUGUUCUUAGUUCAGGCAUCAUAUAUGCGAAUGCCCUCUGCUUAGCAUAUAAAUCACAUACGUGAAUUAAAUCAUGCGAUCCUGAUUACUUAGAUAACAUGUAUGUGAAUUAUGUCAUGCGAUCCUGUUUAGUUAUUCAUCAUAUCUUUGAAUUAUAUUAUGCUAUGCUAUCCAGUUUAGAUAGACAUCAUAUAUGUGAAGUUAUGUCAUGCUAUCCGUUCUACUUAAACAAUAUACGUGUCACCUAUUUCAUGCCCUCUUUUUUCCACACUAUCUAUUGCAUCUGUCUCUCAUACAAUGUACGUACAUUCAACUAUGUUUCAUGUUUAUCGGCCAUUUGAAUUGGAGCGGGUGAUGAUAGUAUCUAGCGGAGUAAAAACAAGGUCUUCAAAUAAAACAGUGCUACCUCUUGGUGGAGAUAGCACCCCGGUUGUACAUGCACGAGAACCAUCCCUACCACACAUAACCCAGACUCUCGCAGAUUGUACCCCUACUGCGAUGGACAGAGAACCAGCUUCACCCAAUCUAACCCCAACCCCAGCAGAUAGUAACCCAGUUCCUGUUGACACAGCACCAUCUCCACCACAGAGCUCCCAAACAAGAGCAGUUAGUAAGGCAGCUCCAGUGCCCAAAGCGCCAGUACUACCACGGCAAACCCCAACUCCACCAGUUAGUACACCUAUUCCUGUGGAGGAAGCACAACCAGCCAGUCAUAGUUUAGCAUCUAUCACAUUUGAUGUUGUUAAAUCCUAUGUCCGUAUCUUCCCAUCAUGGGAAUAUUAUACUGAAGAUGAAGGAAAAUGCCAGUUGCAGGUGUUUGUACAGGAGUUAUGUGUAAGUAAUGUUAUUCAUGGUAAUUACUUUGCUUUGUCCCAUACAGUCUACCUCCAUGAUGGUUAUAAUACAUCAAAUUUUUUCAUUUUUCUCUAUAGAGAAGGGCCGAUUUUGGAAACUCGGGAUGAGGUAACCUGUGCUAAUACCUCUGCUAUCUUCAAGAAUGCUUGGUGGCAGUAUCAGAAUUACCUGAAGAAUACGUACUUCACUGGCAAAGAAACUCAUCAAAUCCCUUACGUUAUCCUGAGACACAUCUACUGGACGAUGACUAGGAACGCCUUGUUCUGUACUGGUCCCGAACCAAGAAUGUGGUAAGGUCUAUGAACUUAUUUUCUAUUUUAAGUACUAUAUUCUUGCGUCUUACUGUACUCUGUUCAUUUAGAACAAGUGCUUAAACCUGAAGAACAACUGUUCUCAUUUAAGAUUCCAUUGCUAUCGUGCAUACUGCUUUGCUCUUAUAUCGCUGUAUUUACUCAUACAAGCUUAUUUUUAAAUUGAAGGAUCCAAUCAAAACUCCAAUGGCACAGCAGGUAUGUUACGCAUGUUUCCUUAACAGGUUUGCUCUUAUAAAUAGCUCUGUUGAUUUCAAUUUCAAUUGUGUAUACAGUUGACUUCUCAUAUCAUGCACAUUACUAGCAUCACAACAGAGCCAAUAGUGUUGUUGUACAUGUAGACCCGUGGUACCCAUCUAAAAGCUUAUCGUGUCGUGUAGUUUCCGACGCUUUGUAUUAUUUCAGAGCUGCUUUGUCUUGAACUGAUAUGAUUUGAACCGUGUCUCUAUCUUGAUUUGGCAAGACAAUGAAGUGACCAUAUGACAUAGAUAGAUGUUUGUUUGAUGCUUUUAUUAUGUACUACUUGGCAAUAGAAGACUUGGUAGUUUAAUCAUGUCCACCUUACUAAUGAACUGGUUCACCGAAAUGAGUUUCAUAUACUAGUACAUGCUAAACCUGUUAUGUGUCUGCUUGUUUCUUCUUUUAGAAUGCUGACAGAAUAUUGGGGAAGAGUGCCUUAUUAAGCAAUGGUAAAGGAAGUAAUGCAGAGAAGGUUCAAGAUAGUGAGACAUCCUUGUUGGUCUCCAACAAAGCUGAUAAAACAGCUAAGGAAAACUAUCUUGAAGACAGUGAGACAACCCCAAAGUCUUGUCUUGGUUUAGUGUUCAAGUUACUGGCCACUACUGCUUGCACAAGCUAUUCAAACUCACUGCCUGAAUCAGUUCAGUUUCUUGAGUCUCAACUACAAGCUGAAAGACAUCGAUUAGCUGUGCUGUGACAAGAAGCGGAAGGACUGCGGAAGUCCCUGGAGCAUUUAGAUGCAUACUUUCUGGUGCAACAACAAGCGUUGGAGGGUUUUAGCACCAAACAGGACAAAGCUAAUAAUAUUGCUAAGCUUAUUGCCAGCAUGGUGGAUACCCAAGAUAACGUUUCUCGAGAUAUUCUGAGGUUGUUUCAGUUUUGGACUUGUUUUAUUUGCUGCCGUGUUUAUUUGCACUGGUGGCCAAUUUAGACGGCCAGUGUAUGUAAUAUGCUGCUUUGUUCCCUAUAUUUGCACUAGUGGCGAACUUUGAUGCCCAGUGGAUGUAAUAUGUGUAAUAGCUGUAAUAGCCUAGCAUUAGUUCCUUGCUUAUUUAUUUCCUUAUUGUCUUGUUGAGUUGUUUGCUUGUAGUCACUGUAGUUCUUUUUCCGCGUUUUUCUAGUGGCCACAAUAACCAUGGCAACACACGGACUGUUGUGACCAUGGUCCUGCUACCUGCUGUAGUGACCAUGGCCCUCCAUGGCCUGUACGAUCCAUGGGCCUUCCACGAGCCGUAGGAUCCAUGGGCCUUCUACGGGCUGUAGGAUCCAUGGGCCUUCUACGAGCCGUCUCAUCUAUGGGACUUCUACGGGCCGUAUCAUUGUUUCACCAAACAUGGGUCGUACUAUUCAUGGACCAAUGACGGACCGCAAAAUGGGCCGUAAACGGGCUAGAGUGGGAAUCGUUUGUUUUAUGGCCCGACCAUAACGGGUCAUUAAUAGGCCGUAACUGAUGAUGCUACGAAAAUAGCCCAACGUGUUAACGGGCCACAAGCAGGCCGACUGUAACCACGGGCUGAAUUUGGCCCACAAGCUGAACAGACCAGUCACGGACCGUAAGUAAUCGAAUUCUGGAAAUGAGCCCAAGAAUAAAUGGGCCCUUAGAACGUCGAAAGUUAACACGGGCUGGAAACGGCCGAUGGACUAAUGGGACGUUAAUGGGUUUAAAAUGAUACACUAUUCAUUACGGGCCAGUUUCACCACGGGCCGUUAAUGGGCCAAGUGUUACAAAGGGACUCAUAUGGGCAGAAAGACGUCAUGGGCCAUACAUGCCGGAAGUUACAAUGGGCUGGAAUCAUACUGGACGGCCCAGAUGACGCUACUGGGCCUAAUUCGGAUAAGCCGUAACGGGUCGUGACCUAGUGGGUUGUAAAUGGGCUAUAUGCUAACAGGCCGUUAACAGGCUUUCCAUGGGCCGGCCCGCUACCUCUUUGACCAAGUCAAACAGGCCGGCCUUUUCACCGGAAUGUGCCUCUGUUGGGCCGUGCCACGUGUCAACGUAUCAUAGGCGCCUCCUGUCCAAUGAGUGGAUGACAUCUGUCCCAACGGUGAGCCAACACGUGUUUCCUCCGGCCAAUGAGAAUUUUACACGUGGAAAAUCCCCAUUGGUCCGGGCUGUUAACGGGUUAUCGUAUCCAAAACCGGACCCGAUAGCUUAAUGGCGGCCUGUUACGAUGGAUGCCACAUGUCGGUUACCCUUGACGAAAACACUUCCAUUAUGCACCAUUUAUCGUCAUGGAAGUGGACACUUCCGUGAUGAUAAUUCUGGUAAUGUCAUGGAACACUUCUACUACAACACAGGUAUGACUAUCUUGAUUCUGUCAUAAAAUCGUCAUGGAUGUACAUGCAUGACGGAAAACGUGACCUACUGUGACAAACAUGUAUCAUCACGGAAGUGUAUUUUUUUGUAGUGUAAGGCCGUGAAAAGGAUAGUGAGAUACUUAAUUCAUACACCAAUUUUUGGCAUUUGGUAUCCUAAGAGGUCUUCUUUUGAUCUUGUUGGGUACUCCGAUUCGGACUAUGCCGGUGACAAGGUUGAUAGAAAGUCCACUUCGGGUACUUGUCAAUUUCUUGGUAGAUCUCUUGUGUCUUGGUCCUCCAAGAAACAAAACUCGGUAUCGUUAUCCACCGCCGAAGCGGAAUACAUUGCCACCGGAUUAUGUUGUGCUCAACUACUUUGGAUGACCCAAACCCUUAAGGAUUAUGGGAUACAUGUUCCAUUGCUUUGUGAUAAUGAGAGUGCUAUUAAAAUUGCUCACAAUCCCGUGCAACAUUCUCGAACUAAGCAUAUUGAAGUUCAUCAUCAUUUCAUUCAAGAUCAUGUUGCUAAGCGAGACACCAAUCUUAAGCAUGUUCGUACCGAUAAUCAAUUGGCAAAUAUAUUCACCAAACCGCUUGAUGAGAAAGUAUUUUGCCGUUUUAGAGGUGAAUUGAACAUCAUUAAUGCCUCAAACUUGGAGUAGAAACUCCAUUUGGAUACAAGCAAGGCAUGAGCCUUUUAUAACUAAUCCUUGCUAUUUCUCUUAUGAUGAUGAUCUUAUGUAUUGGAUCUAUAUUAGUACCCUUGCAUGUUAUCUAACCCUUGUAGGUACUUGGAUAAUUCGAAAUCUAUGAGAUUGCAAGCCACUCACAUUUUGAGCAAUCUCUACAUCACGAAGUUCCUUCUAUAUGGUUGUUGAACACAAGGAAGCACGAAUCCACUCAAUAUAUCCUUGGCAAUUUCUAUAUAUCAAAUUUCAUUCGGUGUCAAGCUUCAUGAUUGUCAUCUUAGAUGCACAAGUGCUUCUCCUUGCAAGACUAACCCAUGUAGGAAGAUGAACUCAAACUACAAGUGGUGCUCCAAACUCUUGAUGAACUACAUCAACCUUGAGCAUCCAACACAAGUUCAACUACAUGGUCAAGAUCAACACCACCCAAGGUAUGUCACUCCAUCUUAGAGAAGCUUUGACACAAGUCAUGAGUCAAAGCACAACAAGAUGUGAACACAUCAAAAUGCUUAAACGGAAAAUGGUAACCCCAUUUUGAGCUUAAACGAUGAGUAUGACCUACGAUCAAGUGUUAUCACUUGACUCCUCAGUCUACUCUAACAUAGGUGACUUUGUUGUCGACCCCUUCUAUAUGAAGUUCUCUAGUGCUUCUUUGUUCACUUACUUUAUGCUUUGCAUAUGUUUCUUGCUAGCUUGUUCCCCUUUUCAAAAAAAAACUUCAUCUAGAUCUCUUUUCUUGUGUAUGUUUUUCUCUGCUUUUUCUGUGUCAGAUUCCUUGCAAAUAUUUCAGUUAAUUCAUUGCAAAUCCUUAUGAGAUUUCAAUUGCCAAGUGAGUUGAGUUAACAAAAAAUUUCCUUCAGUAUUGAACUCGGACUCACCGAUCCAAGCUUAUCGGCUAGACCGAACUACAGGAGCAUCUUGUAAAUAGUUCAUCGGUACAACCGACAUGGACUAACCCGGUCUGACUGCUAUGCAUCAUUUUGACACUACUAACUCGGUGUCACCGAUGAAAACGUAUCGGCAUUACCGAUUUCACUGCUGGGAAAACUUUUUUCCAUUGCAUAUUUCAUUUCUUCUCUAGCUCCACUCAAUGAUUCUUAUCCUCUACCCACAUCUUAAACUACAUGCUGCUUUGUAGUGUGUCUCAAGGACCAAACCUAUUUGACUCCUGCUCCAGAAGUACCCUUCUUGGAAAUUGAUGUCAAAGGGGAGAGAGAGCACAUCAAAAGCUUAUCAUAUGGGAGAGAGCACAUCUUAGCUCUUCCAGUCCAAAUGCUAGUAAAACAAGAGGAGGGAAGUAACAUGUACUUAAGAGGGGAAAGACAUGUCAAUAUGGUUGUUUGCACCAUUUCAUGCUCUGAUUUUCUCUUACCCUACCUUCUCCCAUUAUCAAAUAUUAGAUUCAGGGGGAGAAAGAGUCCAUUUCUAGGGAAGAAAAUCUCUUGGAAUUCAUUGCAUAUCUUUAAUCUUUGGGGACAUGUCUAUAUCCAAAUGAAGUACUAAGUACUCACCCAUUACAUGUCAUCCCAGUCUUGGUACUCUUGUGGUUUCUGAAAUUGCUUUAACUAGAGUGUUUUUGUGUUAUCUAACCCUAUUUUCUCAAGUUCACCUCUUCCAAAGCCAGCCCCAGACCACAAGGUAAGUAUAUGCAUCACACUCAUUUGCAUGAUGAUUUCUUGCUAAUGUACAUAUUAUUUGCAAGAAGGAUUCAUGAACAUGAAGGUACACUUACUUUUAUCUACAUCAUUUGCUCUGAUGCAUAUAGCCAAGAUACAUGUAACACAUUGCUUGCUCUAAUAUGCUUAUGCAUUCGCAUGGUCUUAUAUUCCAUCUCUACAUGAUUGCAUACAUGUAGGGGGAUCCUAUGCUUAUUACAUGUCUUCCCAAAGCUUUACUUGUUACUCUUCAUAUCUUUUAUCUAAAGCUUUGAUGUAUGUUGUCAUCAAUUACCAAAAAGGGGGGAUUGAAAGAACAAGUGCUCCCUAGGUGAUUUUGGUAAUUAAUGACAACAUAUCUCUUGUUGGACUAAUACCUUUAUCUAGUAUAUUUCAGAUGAGUUCAACAAUGGCGUGGUAAGGACAAGAGGAUGAGGAAACCCUUCAAAAUGCUAAGGACAAAGAUUGGCUAAAGCUCAAGACUCUUCAUUUCUAUUUUAGUGAUCCAAGAUCACAUUGAGUCCAUAGGAAAGCCAAUUUAAACAUAUAAUGAGGCUAGCCAACUUGCCUCCAGAGAGCUCCCUCGCGCGCAGCCCUUUAUGGCCGUCUGAUCUGGCCUUCGGUGCGUCCGAAUCGUUGGAUAUUUCCAUUACGGUCAAAACUUUUUCACCUCACGGUUGUUUUUCGUGUCCAAUGACGGGUGGGCUCGCCUCGAGCUCACAUUGGCUGGGUCAGCCCCGCGCAUGUGCGGGAGGUUUUUGCCCAAUCCGCUCCUCACGAGCCGCAAUGACCUCCUUGCCCAAUCCCCUCGUCCCACACCAGCUGAACCCUAGCCCCCUUUCCCCGAUCCCCACAGCAGCUGCCUCCACUCCUCGCUCGCAGCCGCCUCCUCUCCUCUUCCAAGCAGACAUGGUUCCAGAUUGGGCAUAGGUCGCCGUCAUGCGAGAGCAGGGCAGCGGGGUCUUCGCGGAGGGGUGGAGGGGGAGGAUGCGGACGACAGGGCGAAGGAGGUGGCUGGCGAGGACGACAAGAAGUAGGGGGAAAGGAGAAGGGUGACGCCUCGCACACGAUCCUCCUCCCCGCGGCGGUUGGCUGGUCGACUCGUCGCGCCACCGUGUCCUCACCUCCUCUGCGCCAUGAGAGGCGUUGCCUUUGCCUCCACCCCUGCUUCGUGCUUCCUCCUUCCUUGGCACCACAGCUGCUGGUCCACUCCCUCCCCGAUUGGUCCUUCGUUGGCCGCCAGAUCUGCUUUUUUCGUUCGUCUGGACCAUUGAUCUUCGCAACAGUUAAACUCAGUUUUCACCUGGCAGUCGUUUUCAUUGUCCAAUGACUCGUGGGCUCGCGCCGCACGCUGGUUGGCUGGGUUACCAGUUUUGAGGUGCAACUGGUUUUGCCCAAUCAGCUUCGCGCGCCCGCACCCAAUCACCUGUGUAUCACCCCACUCCCACCCCAGCCGCCAAACGAACCCUAGCCCUCUUUCUCCUUCCCCUCGAUCCCCACGAGCCGCCGCACCCCUCCCUCGAUCCCCAGUUCCCCACGAUCCUCUCCUAGCCCGCAGCCACCGGCCUUGUCUCUCCACUCGCCUCCUCCUUUCCUCUACCAUGUCGUCGUCGAUCCCACCGCCGGCCUUCUCCUCUGCUUGCCUCCUCCGGUCCUCUUCCACGUCUCCGUCGAUCCAGAUCAGACCCUCUCCUUGCACGCCCCGUGUUCCUCCUUCCAGCCGAUUGGGCACAGACGCACCAACCCUAGCCCCCGAUGCAGCCAUCCACUCCUCCCUCCUCCCUCCUCCUCCCCCCUCCCCCUCCCAUAGCCGCCGCACCCGUCGCUUGGCCCCCUGGCGACGCCUGGGUCGGGGCUGGGAAGAAGGUCCGGGCCUGCGAGGGAAAGCAGCGAGGGUUGGUGUAGCGGCAAAUGCGGGCGGGAUUUGCGUGGAGGGAGGCUCGUCAGCCGGAACAACAGGAGCAAGGAGGUCGUGCAGGAGCGAAUGCUGGCGGGGUCGGCCAUGGAAGAAGGCUCGCUGGACGGAGCAUCAAGAGCAGGGAAGUCGAGGUGGUUCAGGUUUGCCUCUAUCUCCUCCCCACUCUAUCUCUGCCCUCUCUCUUAUUUUCCCCUUUGUCUCGUGGAUAAGGGCGUCAGUGCACCACGAGGAGUAGAUCGAGCGUGGACCAUAGCAGCAGGAUCAAGGAGCUGCUGGUGGUUCUGGCAACAAGGAGGAUGAUCAAGAAGGAUUGGGGAACACAAGCAAAAAAAGUACUGGGGAAGACGGGCGGGACGAAGGCAUGGAGAUCGUUGUUAGGCGCCAACGUGCGUUUGGUGUUGAUUGCUGGCUGGCCGACUGCGGUGUGCUACCGGCGAUGAGAUCCAGGAGGAGGUGGCGGCGGACAGGGAGUCGAGGUAGGGAUGAACUGCCGAUUAAGAUGCAGAGCUGCUGUUUUUAUCAUGUUGUUCUUAUCCUGCUCACUUUGAUAUUUGUGGAAAAUAUUUGCACUAUGGUUUGGUUAAGAUAUAGAGCUACUAUUUUUAUUCUGCAUUACCUCGUGGGUCUCAUUAUAUGGAUUAAGUACAAGGUAUCUGUGGUUCAAAAGUUUUUAGUAACUUGUGUUUAUCUUUACUGUCUGGUGUCGAAUUAACCGAUUAGUCGGUUGAAUUGAUUGUAAAGGAUUGCCCAAUGUGGUUAUCUGAAGAUUGUAGUUUACCAUAUAUGCCUACUAUAAAAUGCUUAUUUUGCUUCACAUGUAAAGGCUGUAACAGGAUGCAUUUCUCUCUCCUUAUUUCUGCAGGACCUUUUUGCUUGCAUUCUCAUGUCUUUUGGCAAGGAGAAAAUUAUCAUUUGGAGGGGAUAAUACAGAUGAAAACAUGCAAGACAGUAUAUGCAAUUGACAUACCCUUCAGUUCUUGAAUCAGAGUUCAGUGGUGAAGAACACUACAAUUUUUUGGUUGAUGGAUUGGUCUGAAUAUAUUGUUAGGGAUUUUGCAUGAAGUGGUUAUUCAAAGAAUGGAACCAAUUUUAUGGUGAGUCUCUCCUGUAGGAUUCUACUAAUGUUUAUUUGGCUUGAAUAAUGUUACAUGACGUAUUUCUCUUCCCCUUGUGUAUGACUUUUUCCUUACAUUCCCGUAUGUUUUGACAAAGAGCAAAUAUUAUUUGCAGUGAAAAAUACUAUGAUUAAAGCAUACACGGAUGUAGCCUGAAAUAUUAUUUGUUGCCUUAGUUAUAAUGAUCUAUAUGAGGAAUUUCAUCCUGAUAUGUAUGCGUACAUUUCUUCUGUUAUAGAUUUUCAACCCAUCUGUAUAUGAGGAAUUUCAUCAUGAUAUGUAUGCAUCCUGAAAUUUAAAAUCUUAACUAGCAAGAUGCCCGUGCGUUGCACGGAACAUGAAGAUGCAUUUGUAUGAGUAGUUUAUCUUGUGGGAGAAAAAACGAUCUUUUAAUGUAAUUGCCAGUUGGCUUUGGUUUUUAUAAGAGUAGCGAGUAGAGAAAUGCAGAAAAAUUAAUAUUUUAAUGUAAUUGCCGGUUGGCUUUGGUUUAAAAAUUUACAACCCAUUUCUUAAAACCUAUAGCCAAUUUUCUGGGGAAGCCCAUUUCUUACUACUUUACAUCCCUCCCUCCUCGUCUUGAAAGAUUUGCUGCCCAGCAGGGCUGAUGAUAGGCGCUUCAGCAUCAAGUUGGACGUGAACUUCGAACUGGAUACAGUAAGUCACAACGAGAAGUCUUUUUUCGUAAUUAAGCAUGACAUCUGCUUCAUUUGCUUCAACUUAUAAUUUAAUUUUUUUUUACUACUCUACUAGCGUAUCCUCUGCCAUGCAAGAGUUUUUGUCUUGGAUAAGAUAGGUUUCAUUUGUACUAUGGAGGUAAAGAAAGUUUACUUGAAGACCGAGCAUGGUUAUAUUUUCCAUGCAAAAUUAUACAACGCAGACGACUACACCUAUUUUGGAUGCAAAACUUGGCGAGCAGUAUGCAAGACUUAUGCAUUUGAGCCUGAUAUGGUUAUCACCAUUGAUAUCCGUCCGGAAGAUGAUAUUGAAGGUAAUAACGACAUCUGGGUCGAUGUUCAGACGCCUCCAGUUAUACCAUUAUGUGAGUUUCUCAACCAUAUUUAUGUCUUUGAUAUUGUUUAUUCAAAAAUAGUUGGCAACUAAUUUCUAUUGUCAGCUUAUUUCGGUUCAAGCAAACAUGUCCAACGCUUGAUAGACACGACCUACUACUAUCCCGGGGCUGAACUAAACUGCGAGGAGCUAAGUCAUUAUGUUUCAUGGCUUGAGGAUCUUGAUACUGUCAACACAAAUUUUCUUCCUGCAUUUAGAAAUGUUAGUACUGAAAACGUGCGACCAAUAGUGUUCGUAAUGAACUACGAUCACAUCUAUUUAAGAAAGAUGGUAACAUUUUUACUAUUUGUCCUCAGUGCAUCUUUUGCAUACAUUAUUUUUUAAGCUAAACUUCAUUGCUAAGUAUGUUACUAUAUGAUGUUCUUCAACAGGGACUCCCGAUGAAUGUUGUGCCUCAUGGGAUCGAGACUAAUGGUACCAUGAGUAUUGUUAGCUUACGGCCAAGAUAUCCUACAAUGCACUUUAGUGCAUUCAGGAUUUCUAAGAGCGAGGAAGUCUUAAUAGUGAAAGACUGGACCAAAUUUGUGAUGGAGGAGCGCAGAGAAGUACUAGGGGGCAGCAAUGAGAAGCGCAGCCCACGAUUAGGAGUCAGGUUCAUCUGCAUGCUCCAACUUGAUGAAGGAGGAGAGCUACACAUGUUUUAUGUUAUUUUACCUGAGAGAGAGCAGCAGGAGUGAUUAGCUAGCUAGAAAUGAGUUUGAAGAUGAUGAUGUGCUACACUAUGAGUAUGAUGAUUAAAUAGCUAGUGUUGGUGGUAAUGACUAUGAUGAUUAAAUAAAUACUGUUGGUGGUGAUUAGCUAGCUUGAAAUGAGUUUGAAGAUGAUGAUGUGCUACACUAUGAGUAUGAUGAUUAAAUAGCUAGUGUUGGUGGUAAUGACUAUGAUGAUUAAAUAAAUACUGUUGGUGGUGAUUAGCUAGCUAGAAUGAGUUUGAAGAUGAUGAUGUGCUACACUAUGACUAUGGUGAUUAAAUAAAUACUGUUGGUGGUAAUGACAAUGAUGAUGAUUAAAUAGAUUGUGCUGGUGGAUUAGAUUCAAGUGGAGGCAACAUGUGGUGCACAUCGAAAGUACUACUAGUCCAAACUAGAUCAAAUUUGGAUUAGUAGUAUACUUUUGACAUGCACCACAUAUUGCCUCCACUUGAACCUAAUCCACCUUCAUUUGAUACACUGUUAUGGACAUAAUGAUAUAAACCUCAUAAUUGGUAUUGUACCAAAAUUUGUAUAACGGCAUAUAAAUACACUAAAAAUGAAAAAAAAGUACUAGUAGCGAUGGAUACAAAACACGCUACAACUAGCUAGAUUAGCAGCAGCGCGGGACAGAACAAGCACUGCCGCUAUGUGUCUUAGCAGUAGCGCUUGUCGCACGCGCUACUGCUAAGUAAUAGCUAUAACGCCUUAUUGGUAGCGCGGCUGCCCGUGCUACUAGUGGGCUUUAAACCCGCGUUACUACUAGGGUUUUCCNNNNNNNNNNNNNNNNNNNNNNNNNNNNNNNNNNNNNNNNNNNNNNNNNNNNNNNNNNNNNNNNNNNNNNNNNNNNNNNNNNNNNNNNNNNNNNNNNNNNNNNNNNNNNNNNNNNNNNNNNNNNNNNNNNNNNNNNNNNNNNNNNNNNNNNNNNNNNNNNNNNNNNNNNNNNNNNNNNNNNNNNNNNNNNNNNNNNNNUAGUAGUGUAUUAUUGCUCUGUUGUACAGAGAGCAGUGAGUUUAUAUUAGCUAAAUGUUAGAUUGGAAUGCAGGAGUAGCAUGACAACACCAAGGUAGAGACCUGAAGAGAAGCAAGGGGAUGGACCAAGGAAACUAGAACUGUGUUGUCGUGAUGUGGGUCGUGUCGUCUUCGUCCAUCUCCAUGGAGGCAUAUAUACAUAGGUUAGGUAUAGGAAAGGAGACCGUCUCCAUGGAACUCUGACUGAUGUGUAAUGUCCACAUAGGACUGGACCGUUUACAGAGUGAGUACUUGAAAAUAGAUUCUUUAUAUAUUGUUUGGUUCCAUCAGCCGCAUAACCUAAAUUAGCAAUUAGGUAUCUAAACAGUGUAGUGUAACCAUUGUGCUUGCUGCAGUUUUACUUUAGUGUUGAAAUGUUUUUGUUGGCUUGUUCUGUACUACGAAAUAUUUUUGUUUUCCCAGCCAUUGUUUUCUAAAUCCUAUCAGCAUAUUACCUGAUAUGGCCUUUGAAGUUUCUGUUUUAUAACGAGCUUUGCGCCGGUCAACUUGUGUAUGGUAUGGUUUAUUCUUUUCUGUUGCGCCUAUUCGAGAGAAAUUUAGAGCUCCACAACCUUCUCAAGACUUAGCAGAGAUGAAACAAUCAAUCAGUUGAGAUGCAUCACAUGAUCUUUUUCUCUUGACAUUUAUGGGUAUCGAACCCAUAGAUCAGCUUAUCAAUGGAACCCUUAUCGGGUUGAGAAGGUGUCACAAAAACUAAAGAGCAGUUUUAACAUGGUCCCUGAUUAACUCUUACCUUCUUACCUAUUAUGUGAAGGGGGUAAGAGGGACCUUGUUAAAAUUAGCGAAAACUCAAAAACAGGGCGAUUAGCUAAGGAAAGAAGCUAAGAAGCAUCAGGAAGGACUUUUAGGAUGGUACCGCGGUCAAAUGCAUCCUAGGAUAGGUACUUUAAGAAUCAUGGUGUGUUCUUCUCCUUUUUUGUUUACCUUAGCCACAUAGGUUAGCCUCAAUUUAUUAUUAUUCUUCUGUUUAGAGUAGAUGCUUCCAUCAGAACUGAUAUCCACAGGGUCAGUUCGAGAACCCCUCAUGCUCAACCAUCGCACUGACCUACGACACCAUCGAUUCUCAAUCAAAACAAUGUCAGCUUAUAAAUAACCAUUGGAAUAACUGCAAUAAUUUACUUCCAUAUGAGUGCAUCCCUAAAUAGAAAGGAUCGCAUCACAAGAUCUAUAAUGCCUAGAAAACGAGACAAAAGGGGUGAGAAUCGCCACAAAAAAGAGGGGAUAUGCAAGAUCGAGAUAAAUGGAAAGUANNNNNNNNNNNNNNNNNNNNNNNNNNNNNNNNNNNNNNNNNNNNNNNNNNNNNNNNNNNNNNNNNNNNNNNNNNNNNNNNNNNNNNNNNNNNNNNNNNNNNNNNNNNNNNNNNNNNNNNNNNNNNNNNNNNNNNNNNNNNNNNNNNNNNNNNNNNNNNNNNNNNNNNNNNNNNNNNNNNNNNNNNNNNNNNNNNNNNNNNNNNNNNNNNNNNNNNNNNNNNNNNNNNNNNNNNNNNNNNNNNNNNNNNNNNNNNNNNNNNNNNNNNNAUCCAUGCAUGCAGACAAAUCCGAAAUCAAAAGAGGUAAGAAAUCGCACCGGUCGGCGGCUGAGGAAACAAAAGGAAGGGGAUAGACAGUCUACGCUGGAUUCGCCCCUGCCGCUUCAUGUUCAGCUCCUCACGGGCCACAGGCAUCGCUCUACAUGGGCUGGGCUAAAUAACAUAUGGGCUAUCCUAAUACCUCCUGAUCCCUAUAUCUCGUAUAUGCACAACAAAGACAUAUUUUUUUCUUAGGUUUCUUAUCUUUUCCCCUCUUUUUUUGCAGGAAAAAGAUGCACGACCAGGUUUCUCAUCAUGAUAACCAUGUUUUCAAACUUGCUAAAAAAUUACAACCAUGCCAACUUUACUCUCUCAUCAUAGUGGCCAUAUUUUCAAACUGAACAUAUUCAUAUUAUGCAAAGUUUCCCUUUUCCCAAACUAUUAUUUAACAACAUAAUAAACAUGUUUAAAAAAUAGCAUGAUUUAGUUGAAGGUUCUUGCAGCAUGAAACUAUUUUCAUCAACAGCAUGUCUUCAGCAGGUCUCUGCGCCAUUUGGCGCAACGGGUCAACUAGUACUAUUAAAAGGGGAUGAGGUGUUGCUUAAUGGUCUCUUGCUCAAAGUGCUUAGUGAUAUUCACUACUAGGGAAAACCCUAGUAGUAGCGCUUGAAAUAUACAUAACAGUAGCGCUGGGAAACGUUGCUCCAAAAACCCUCAACCACUUUCUCACUUCCACAUUUGUCCAAAACUUGUUGGGAAAUGUUGCAUGGAAAACAAAAGAAUUUCUAUGCACACGCAAUGAUCUAUCCAUGGAGAUGCAUAGCAACGAGGGGGAGAGUGUGUCUACGUAACCUCGUAGACCAAAAGCGGAAGCGUUUGACAACGCGGUUAAUGUAGUCGAACUUCUUCUAGCUCCGACCGAUCAAGCACUGAACGUAUGGCACCUCCGAGUUCUGCACAUGUUCAGCUCGGUGACGUCCCUCGCCUUCUUGAUCCAACAAGGUGUCGAGGUAGUAGAUGAGUUCCGUCAGCACGACGGCAUGGUGACGGUGAUGGUGAAGUGAUCCUCGCCGGGCUUCGCCUAAGCACCGCGGAAAUAUGACCGGGGUGUAAACUGUGGAGGGGGGCGCCACACACGGCUAACAAUUGAUGUUGUGUCUUCUAGGCGCCGUUGUGUCUUCUAGGCGCCCCACUCCCCCCCCACAUAUAUAUAUAUAUAGGUGGGAGGGGAGGAGAGGCGGCCAGGGGGCGCCCCAAGUAGGAUCCAAAUCCUACUUGGGGUUUCCCCAAGUGGCGCCCCCCUUUCCUUUUUCCAUCGGAGAAGAAAGGAAGGGGGAAGAAGAGAAGGAAGGGGUGUUGAACCCCCUCGUCCCUUCUCCUAUUCGUCCACCUGCCAUAGGGGGGGGGGCUCCACCCCUUAUGGGCUGGUGUGCUCCCCUCUCAUGGCCCAUAUAUUCCCCCGGGGGUUCCGGUAACCCCUCUAGUACUCCGAUAAAUACCCGAUACACUCCGGAACACUUCCAGUGUCCAAAUACAAUCGUCCUAUAUAUGAAUCUUUACCUCUUGACCAUUUAGAGACUCCUCGUCAUGUCCGUGAUCUCAUUCGGGACUCUGAACAACAUUCGGUCACCAAAUCACAUAACUCAUAUAAUACAAUAUCGUCAUCGAAUGUUAAGCGUGUGGGCCCUAUCGGUUCGAGAACUAUGUAGACAUGAUUGAGACACCUCUCUGGUCAAUAACCAAUAGCGGAACCUGGAUGCCCAUAUUGGCUCCUACAUAUUCUACGAAGAUCUUUAUCGGUCGAACCGUUAUGACAACAUACAUAAUUCCCUUUGUCCAUCGGUAUGUUACUUGCCCAAGAUUCGAUCGUCGGUAUCUUCAUACCUAGUUCAAUCUCGUUACCGGCAAGUCUCUUUACUCGUUCCAUAAUACAUCACCUCAUGACCAACUCCUUAGUCAUUUGCUUGCAAGCUUAUGAUGUGUAUUACUGAGAGGGCCCAGAGAUACCUCUCCGAUACUCGGAGUGACAAAUCCUAAUCUCGAUCUAUGCCAACUCAACAAACACCUUAGGAGAUACCUCUAGAGCAUCUUUAUAAUCACCCAGUUACGUUGUGACGUUUGAUAGCAUACAAGGUAUUCCUCCCGUAUCCGGGAGUUGCAUAAUCUCAUAGUCGAAGGAAUAUGUAUUUGACAUGAAGAAAGCAAUAACAAUAAAACUAAACGAUCAUAUUGCUAAGCUAAUGGAUGGGUCUUGUCCUUCACAUCAUUCUCCUAACGAUGUGACCCCGUUAUCAAAUGACAACUCAUGCACUACAAAAAAAGACACAUCCGUGACAUUUUGGGCCCAACGAAUUUUUUUCCUGUCAUACUUAUGACACUUCUCUGACGAUAAUUGUGAGAAAACCCGGUAUCAUCAUAGAUGUGGUGGGCUCCUACUUUUAUGAUAAAAAUACGACGGAAAAUGGGCUUUUCGUCCUGGGCGGGCCGGAGACGCAGAUGCAUGACAUUCUUUGGGCCGUCCAUGACGGAAAAAACCGUGGUAGAAGCGAGUGCGAGGAAAAUAUCGGGGAGUUCCCGGUACGGUGGGUGGUCGGGGGACGAGCGAGUCACGUUUCUCUCGUACACGUACGCGCGUGAGUGCGAGGGAUUGCACUGCAGGAUUGGGCUCUAACUGAACCCGAGCUAGGCGUUCGCCUACUGAACCCGAGCGAUUGCACUGCAGGCUACGCGUUACUGAGCCCGAGCGAUCGAUAGAUGGUUGUUAACUGAACCCUAUCGUGCGAUUCCUUCGUUUGCUACUGCUGCUAACUGAAGCCGAUCGAACACUGCUGCCUCCUUCCCUUGAUGAACAGUGAGUGUUGUUGGGGGCUUUGGAUGAACAGUUCCCGGUGGGGGGCUGGAUGAACAGGACCCCGUGUUGCCGCUGGAUGAACAGGACCCCGAUCGAUCGAGCCGGUUGGGCGUGGAUGAAUAGGACCCCAUGGAGGGCUGGAUGAACAGGACCCCGUGGAGGGAAGGUUGAACAAUAGCCGGUGGAGGGUUGGUUGAACAGUAGCCGGUGGAGGGCUGGUUGAAUAGUAGCCCGUGGAGGGGUGGUUGAACAGGACCCCAUGGAGAGGGCUGGUUGAACAGUAACCGGUGGAGGAGCGCGCAGUGGAGGCUGGAUGAACAGGAGCCCGUGGAUGAACAGUCGUAGGUGGAGGCUGGAGGAGGUCGACGGUGGAUGAACAGUAGCCCGUGGAGGCUGGAGCUCCAACACAAGUCUGUUUCCUCCGUUUUGCGGUACGCCACACCCCUCCUGAUCAAUAGGACCCCGUUUCCAUUGUAGGAGGUCCGUUUCCUCUGUGUUGCGGUACGCCAGACCCCUCCCGAUGAACAGGAUCCUGUUUCCAUCGUGGCCGGUCGAACACAAGAUCGUUUCCUCCGUUCUGUGGUACGCCAGGCCUCGUUUCCAUCGGCUGUUCCGUCCAAGCCGGUUGGCUCCCGAUGAACACGACGACGCAUUCCGUUUCGCCCCAGCCGGACGACGACGCAGUUUCUCCGUUCCGACCCAGCCAUGUACACGAGCCCUGGCCGUACGUAUGCGCGAGUAGGCAUUCGAGACCCCGCUCGUAUGUACGUACGUGGCCGUAUUUACUUUCUUGCACCGCUGUACGUACGUGUACACGCUACAUGCGCGCAUCUACUACCACACGUGCGCGCCUCUACAUCGACCAGUAUGUAUGUACACGUUCGCGACCAGAAUGACAACGCUACGUACGCUUCGACCGGAUGGGUCCCGCUGUCCGGCACUUCCUUGCAUGCGAAGAUGUAGCUGGUGGGUCCCAGCAGUCAGGGGGGCGAAUCAUUUUUUUUGCCCGUAAUAUGGAUGCACUUCCUUGCGUGCGAAGAUGUAGCUGGUGGGUCCCAGCAGUCAGGGGGGAAACGUUUUUUUCAUAAAAUAUGGUGGCUCGUCCGGUGGGUCCCCGCUGUCAGGUGGAGGAAUCAUUAUUUUCCACGUAAUAAGGAGGCACUUCCUUGCUGCGGCCGUGGACCCAGCUGUCAGCCUCUCCACGUACAGUACUCUUUCGAUGGAAGUCGUUCCUUGACCACGUGGACCACGCCGCGUCGAGAGCACCAGGGCGGUGGACGACGGUGAGGCCUAGGAAGGGGACGACACAGAGCCGGGGAAGACGCGACAGUGGAUGCCCACAUGGAGAGGAGUACGAGGGUUCACUGGUUCGGCUUCAGUGUGAGGCUGCCGUCGCCGCAGAAUAACAGGGGUUCUGGGUGAGUGGAGGGAUGGCCUGGCCAGCGGUGGGAGUAGUAGGGGGCGGUGAGGCCUCCACGGCGGCACAGCCGGCCACGGGAGGCAGGAGCAGGCGGCACGACCGGCGCAACUUUGGGCGGCUGGAGCGAGAAGACCAGAGGUUGAAGAAGCACUAUGGCUGUUGGAUGGACAUCGCAUACGGUCACUGGAGCUAAAAUCGUUCAUAUUGACUAAGUUGACAAAGCCCUCCGUCCCCGUCAUCUUAGUAGGCCCACAAGUCAGCCUCCCACAAAUGGUGGGUCCCAGCUAGCAGGGGGAGUAUUCAUUUUUUUGUGCGUAAUAAGGAGGCACUUCCUUGUGUGCGAAGAUAUAGCUGGUGGGUCCGAGCUAACAGCGGGGGGAACGUUUUUUUCAAGAAAUACAGAGGCCCUUCUGGUGGGUCCCAGCUGUCAGGUGGAGGAAUCAUUAUUUUGCGCGUAAUAAGGAGGCAUUUCCUUGUGUGGACCCCUACUGUCAGCCUCUUCCAAUGGCUGUUGUUUGUUGACCAUGUUGACCUCGCCGCGCCGAGAGCACAAACGCGGUGGACGAGGGUGAGGCCCAGGACGAGAACGAUCCGGAGCCGUUGAAGCCACCGCAGCGGAUGCCCACGCUGAGGGGUGUACGAGCGCUGACUGGUCGGCUGCGGGGUGAGGCUGACAUCGCCGGAAAAUAACAGGAUGUGCGGGUGUGUAGAGGGAUGGCCUGGCGGCAGCACAGCCAGCCACGGGGGGAGGGAGCAGGCAGUCGCGCCGGCGCUGCUUUGGGCGGCUGGAGCAGGAAGAUCAGAGAUUGAAGAAGCAUGACGGCCGUUGGAUGGACAUCCAACAGUCACUGCUCUGUGUUGACUAAGUUGACAAAGCCUUGCGUACGCGUCAAAAAAAAAUUAGGACAUCGUCAACCUAGUAGGCCCAGAAGUCGGCCUCCAAAUCUGUGGAAAACAACUUACAGCCCAUUAGCCAUUAUUUUCAAUAAUUUACAAUCCAUUUGCUAAUUCUUAAGGAUAUUUGAAGCCCAUAUUCUUUUUAUUAGCAUUAUAAACCAUAUAUUCCGGGCACUGCUAAAAACUUCAACGAAAUUUUUCAUAUUUCGGUGGGGUCCGAACUCUUUUAAUCAUGAAAUUUUGAGUCACGCUAAAAUAAUUUUUCAAAAAUUAUAUCAAGAUAAAAUUCAAAAAACAAUUCUCCGCAAAAAAGAAUGAAAUUUAAAAUCUUAACUAGCAAGAUGCCCGUGCGUUGCACGGAACAUGAAGAUGCAUUUGUAUGAGUAGUUUAUCUUGUGGGAGAAAAGACGAUCUUUUAAUGUAAUUGCCAGUUGGCUUUGGUUUUUAUAAGAGUAGCGAGUAGAGAAAUGCAGAAAAAUUAAUAUUUUAAUGUAAUUGCCGGUUGGCUUUGGUUUAAAAAUUUACAACCCAUUUCUUAAAACCUAUAGCCAAUUUUCUGGGGAAGCCCAUUUCUUACUACUUUACAUCCCUCCCUCCUCGUCUUGAAAGAUUUGCUGCCCAGCAGGGCUGAUGAUAGGCGCUUCAGCAUCAAGUUGGACGUGAACUUCGAAGUGGAUACAGUAAGUCACAACGAGAAGUCUUUUUUCGUAAUUAAGCAUGACAUCUGCUUCAUUUGCUUCAACUUAUAAUUUAAUUUUUUUACUACUCUACUAGCGUAUCCUCUGCCAUGCAAGAGUUUUUGUCUUGGAUAAGAUAGGUUUCAUUUGUACUAUGGAGGUAAAGAAAGUUUACUUGAAGACCGAGCAUGGUUAUAUUUCCCAUGCAAAAUUGUACAACGCAGACGACUACACCUAUUUUGGAUGCAAAACUUGGCGAGCAGUAUGCAAGACUUAUGCAUUUGAGCCUGAUAUGGUUAUCACCUUUGAUAUCCGUCCGGAAGAUGAUAUUGAAGGUAAUACCGACAUCUGGGUCGAUGUUCAGACGCCUCCAGUUAUACCAUUAUGUGAGUUUCUCAACCAUAUUUAUGUCUUUGAUAUUGUUUAUUCAAAAAUAGUUGGCAACUAAUUUCUAUUGUUAGCUUAUUUCGGUUCAAGCAAACAUGUCCAACGCUUGAUAGACACGACCUACUACUAUCCCGGGGCUGAACUAAACUGCGAGGAGCUAAGUCAUUAUGUUUCAUGGCUUGAGGAUCUUGAUACUGUCAACACAAAUUUUCUUCCUGCAUUUAGAAAUGUUAGUACUGAAAACGUGCGACCAAUAGUGUUCGUAAUGAACUACGAUCACAUCUAUUUAGGAAAGAUGGUAACAUUUUUACUAUUUGUCCUCAGUGCAUCUUUUGCAUACAUUAUUUUUUAAGCUAAACUUCAUUGCUAAGUAUGUUACUAUACGAUGUUCUUCAACAGGGACUCCCGAUGAAUGUUGUGCCUCAUGGGAUCGAGACUAAUGGUACCAUGAGUAUUGUUAGCUUACGGCCAAGAUAUCCUACAAUGCACUUUAGUGCAUUCAGGAUUUCUAAGAGCGAGGAAGUCUUAAUAGUGAAAGACUGGACCAAAUUUGUGACGGAGGAGCGCAGAGAAGUACUAGGGGGCAGCAAUGAGAAGCGCAGCCCACGAUUAGGAGUCAGGUUCAUCUGCAUGCUCCAACUUGAUGAAGGAGGAGAGCUACACAUGUUUUAUGUUAUUUUACCUGAGAGAGAGCAGCAGGAGUGAUUAGCUAGCUAGAAAUGAGUUUGAAGAUGAUGAUGUGCUACACUAUGAGUAUGAUGAUUAAAUAGCUAGUGUUGGUGGUAAUGACUAUGAUGAUUAAAUAAAUACUGUUGGUGGUGAUUAGCUAGCUUGAAAUGAGUUUGAAGAUGAUGAUGUGCUACACUAUGAGUAUGAUGAUUAAAUAGCUAGUGUUGGUGGUAAUGACUAUGAUGAUUAAAUAAAUACUGUUGGUGGUGAUUAGCUAGCUAGAAUGAGUUUGAAGAUGAUGAUGUGCUACACUAUGACUAUGGUGAUUAAAUAAAUACUGUUGGUGGUAAUGACAAUGAUGAUGAUUAAAUAGAUUGUGCUGGUGGAUUAGAUUCAAGUGGAGGCAACAUGUGGUGCACAUCGAAAGUACUACUAGUCCAAACUAGAUCAAAUUUGGAUUAGUAGUAUACUUUUGACAUGCACCACAUAUUGCCUCCACUUGAACCUAAUCCACCUUCAUUUGAUACACUGUUAUGGACAUAAUGAUAUAAACCUCAUAAUUGGUAUUGUACCAAAAUUUGUAUAACGGCAUAUAAAUACACUAAAAAUGAAAAAAAAGUACUAGUAGCGAUGGAUACAAAACACGCUACAACUAGCUAGAUUAGCAGCAGCGCGGGACAGAACAAGCACUGCCGCUAUGUGUCUUAGCAGUAGCGCUUGUCGCACGCGCUACUGCUAAGUAAUAGCUAUAACGCCUUAUUGGUAGCGCGGCUGCCCGUGCUACUAGUGGGCUUUAAACCCGCGUUACUACUAGGGUUUUCCNNNNNNNNNNUAGUAGUGUAUUAUUGCUCUGUUGUACAGAGAGCAGUGAGUUUAUAUUAGCUAAAUGUUAGAUUGGAAUGCAGGAGUAGCAUGACAACACCAAGGUAGAGACCUGAAGAGAAGCAAGGGGAUGGACCAAGGAAACUAGAACUGUGUUGUCGUGAUGUGGGUCGUGUCGUCUUCGUCCAUCUCCAUGGAGGCAUAUAUACAUAGGUUAGGUAUAGGAAAGGAGACCGUCUCCAUGGAACUCUGACUGAUGUGUAAUGUCCACAUAGGACUGGACCGUUUACAGAGUGAGUACUUGAAAAUAGAUUCUUUAUAUAUUGUUUGGUUCCAUCAGCCGCAUAACCUAAAUUAGCAAUUAGGUAUCUAAACAGUGUAGUGUAACCAUUGUGCUUGCUGCAGUUUUACUUUAGUGUUGAAAUGUUUUUGUUGGCUUGUUCUGUACUACGAAAUAUUUUUGUUUUCCCAGCCAUUGUUUUCUAAAUCCUAUCAGCAUAUUACCUGAUAUGGCCUUUGAAGUUUCUGUUUUAUAACGAGCUUUGC
rnacentral:lncRNA from 1 species